UCGUUGUGUUGCCACAAAUAAUCGUUACAUUUGCUCCAUUCACUCCGACGCCUGGGGCAUUACUUCCUGGUACGGAGCAAGACAAACUCCCCAAUAUAGUUAAAUUAAUAUUCGUUGGUAUAAUCGGUGGUACUUGACCACCAACAGGUGGUACAAUCGGUGGUAUACUAAUGGGUGGUACAAUCGGUGGUAUAUUAAUGGGUGGUACAAUGGGUUGGCCAAGAAUAGGACCAACAAUUGGACUGAGAAUAGAACCAACAAUCGGUAAUUGGCCAAGACCAACAGGUGGCACUUGACCAACGGGUGGUACAAUACGUGGUGGUGCAGGUUGACCCAAUAGGGGAUGCAAUAGAGUACCCACAAAGGGAAUGGGACCCAAAAUGGGACGAACAAUGGGACCAAGGUUAAUAGGCAAUUGAGCAUGGGCUAGAGGACUGGUGGUGAUGAUGGAAAGUAGAAUAACAAGGGAAACAACACACAUUUUUGAAGACAUGAUGAUUUGAUAAUUUUUAUUCUGUUCAAUAUACCCUUUAUAUAGUGCUCCUUUUUAUUUACUCCACCCCUACCUUAACUUACCCCACCCCCCAACCUAUAUAAAUGAUUAAAUAUAUUAUCUUUCAUCCCUAAAUAAGACUUACAAAUAUCUCACAUAUAUCAUCAUUAGUUAGGUUGAAACUCAUCAACUUGAACAACAUUGGGACCAUACAAAUUAAUUAAUUCAAUAUCAUUUGACUUGUCAUAAGAAGAAAUUUUUUUUGUAAGCUGAGGCCAAAAGGCCUUUGGUUUGCCCAUAGGACUCCCUUUUUCUUUUCUUCUACCAUUAUUUUUAAAGUAAUUAAAAGUUGAAGAUUUAAAACAAAUACCAUAAAUUUAUAUUUUUUUAAUUAUUAAAGUAAUUUACACAAUUUAUUUAUUUUUAUUUAUUUUAAAUAUAACCUUUUAAAAUUGGUGUUAAAUCUUUAUAUUUUGGUAAAAAAUUAGGUGUUCACAGUGUGAUUGUUAAUCACUUCAUUAAAAAUUAAAAAAGUUUAAGUAGAAUUUAGAUAAAAAAAAAAUAAGUAAUGUCUACUAAUUAUCUUGAAAUCUAAUGGGUUUAUCACAUUGUUCGAAAUGUAUUAAAAUAUCUAACAUAUAAUUUUAAAAUUGAAGAGAGUUAAAAUUAUAGUAGAAUAAAAGAGAGAUGAAAUUGUGGUAAAAACUGACAUUGAAAGUGAUAAGUUAAUGAAGAUGACAAUGAAUUUUUGAAGAAGAAGGAAGAAAGAAAAAGAAAAAAAUAAUAAGGAGAAAAAGUUAAAAUAAUACGAAAAAUUAAAAAAUAUAUAUAUUUUAUAGUAAAAUUCUUGUAAAAAUAAAAUUAUAUUCGUUUUUUUAGUUUGUUCACGCUCUUUAAGAGAGCGCAUACACUUUCCGUGUCAGGUAAACAAAAAAUGAUGUAAUAAUAUCAAUUCAAAAAUAUUUAGGGAGGGUAAUAGGAUACUUGCUUAGUUUAGAUAUUUUUAUAAAAAUUCGAGACAACUUCAAGUAACAUUUUAUGUCUUUUCUCUAUAUGCUAAAAACCUUUUAAGUAGUAGUGUAUGGAUCACCAAUAUACCACUGACUUUAUAUAUAUAAUAUAAUAUGAAGUAUUUUGUAGAAGAGCCAUGAGUUUCACAAAUAUGUCCAGAAGUAGCAUAACAAAAAUAAGUAGAAUUAGUUAGAUUCGAAUGCACGAUUACUUCUUCAUUUCAAGAAGGUGAAAUCAUUAGGUUAUAAUUAUAAUUUUUUUAAUGUUAAGGAUGUUCAAAAUAUGCUAUUUAAUCAUUUCGUAUGUAUUUUACUUGUUUAUAUGAUAGUUAUUUCUGACGAAAAUCGGACACCCUUAUCACCACGUGACUACGCCACCGGAUGUAUCAAGCUUUAAACACACAGAAAAAUGAGAACUAUAUUUUCUGGUUUUCUGGUAAGAAAAAAAAUAUAUUUAUGUUAAUAUAAUGGCACGAUAGAUGGGCAAGCAGGAGGUCAAUGUAUAUGUUUAAUUUACAUGAUACAGAUGAAUUAGGAGAGCAAUUAAAAUUUAUAUGAUUUAAAAAUAUUAUAAGUUGUUUAUUAUUGUGAAUUAUAGUAUUUUUAAUUUAUGUGACACAUAUAAAAUUUUAAGAGUCAACAAAUUCUUUAAUAAGUUUUAAAAUAUAUUUCAAAUGGUUAAUUAUUAUAAUUUUUAAUAUUUUUUACGCCCUAAACCUACAUCCUAAAUGUAUCGGUACUCAAAAAUCAUCUUUGAUCCCAAAUGAACCUUUAAUCAUAAGCGAAAGACUUACUCUAACAACAGAAAUCUCAAAACAAGAUCAACUCAUAAGAAUAAGUGCUCAACUCUCAAUCUUCAAAACAUCAAGGACUGAGAAAAAGAAGUAAAAUAUUUUUUGGAAGAAUGAAAGGGUGGUUUAUGGGGAGGGGGUUGGAUAAUAAUUUAAUUUUUAUUUAUACGGUGAAUAUUUUAUCUAUGUGAAAUGUCAAAGUGUUAAGAUUUUUCAAAAUAAAAAAUAGAGUACAUUAUACACACCACCAAGGUGUUUUCUCAAACUAAUAAAUACUAGUUUAGCUACAAAACUAAAUAAAAAGAUAGUUUAAAUGUGUUUUUAAUGGGGGUGUGCAAAAAUCGAACCGACCGAUAAAUUGAACCAAAAAUAUGUUAUUGGGUUAUUGAGGUUUUAAUGGGUUUAUAAAAAAAAAUUAAUGGGUUAUUGGUUCGUUAUCAGUUUUUACUAUUGGGUUAUUGGGUAAAUUAAUAACCCAAUAAGACGGUAAUAAUUCACUAUUUUACUCUUCCUAAUUAUUAAAUAUUAAUAAUUUAAUAUAACUAAACACUAUAACUAUAUCAAAUUAUUAGUACUCUCUCCCCUUCACACUAGGCCGCUUUACUAGUUUUUAUUGUUUACUAAAAACCUAAAGACUAUAGUAAGGGUUCACUAUUGUAGCUAUUUGAUUUUAAUUUUAGUUUAGUAUUAUUGGACUAUUUGAUAUUAAUUUUAGUUUGUAAUUGUAGGUUGUAGCAUUUGCAAGUUUGUGAAGGUCCGUAAUUUGAUUAACAUAAAAAAUCUCGUACUAUAUUUUGGCGGUGACAUGUAAUUAUAGCCUUUGUACUAUAUUUAGAAAAGUGAGAAGUCAUAUAAUAUUUUACGAACAUUUUUGUUACUGGGUAAAUCGAAAAUCAAACGUAUAACUACCAAAAAACGAUAAAGAAUAUCUUAUUGAUUGGUUAUCGGGUUAGUGUUGACACCCAAUUUUGGACCUCCACCAUAUAAAUAAUCAAUUCGAGCUUCUUCGAUUUUAGACGAUUUAAAAUAAUUAGUUUAUAAAAUUGUAAGAAAAUUUCAAAGUUUGCACCUUAUUUUAAAUAGUUUUGUCGCUUUAUAUAUAUAUAUAUAUAUAUAUAUAUAUAUAUAUAUAUAUAUAUAUAUAUAUAUAUAUAUAUAUAUAUUACACAACUAUGUAUACAAUUAAUAUAUUUUUAUGAUUACUCAAAAAUCAUCUCAAAAAGAUUUUACUUUGUUUAAAUAUUUUACUAAUUAGUUUAGUUAUAUAAUAGUUUACAUUCUUGAAUUAGUUAUUCUAUAAUUAAGUCGAUUAAUUUAUUUAAUUAAAAUUAAGAAGCUCGUUAAUUAAUUAUACUAAUUCAUCGAGUUUAAUGUCAAUCAUUUCACCAUUCAAUUUCUAAUUGGUUUAAGUAUACAAUAUUUGGUUGCCAAAAGACCAAAUUUGGGCCUCCAUUUUGAAUUGAGCAACUUUCACAUAUAGCAAAUAAAAAAUUCAUAUUUGUAUGCUAUAGCAAAGUUUGCAUAAUUGCGUUCCAUAGCAAACAUAGAAACUGUAUAAUUCGCUAUAUAUAUACAGUUGAAGCAAAUUGUAUAAAUUGAAGUGUAUAAAACAAGAAAGAGAAAGACACUUGGAUAGAGAACUGUAUAAAAAUGAAGUGUAUAAAACGAAUUGUAUUAUUAUAAGUGUAUAGAACCAUUUUAUAAAAUUUGAAUUUGUAUAAAAUGAGAAAGAGAGAAAGACAAAAGAGACUUGACAAGGAAUAUACAAUUGAAUCGAAUUGUAUAAACGAGAAAGAGAGAAAGGCAAAAGAAACUGUGCAGGGUAGUAUUUUUAUUGUAUAAUUACAAGUGUAUAGGAUGAAAAUAUAUGUAUUUGCAUGUGUAUAUACAAUUUUCUCACGCUUUAUACAAACAGAAACACAAUUUAUGCAUUUUGCUUCUCUUUGUAUAAGUGAUAAAGGCGAGGGUGGCGAGCGAGAUCUGGAAGAGGGAAGAGAGGGGAACAAAAAUAUAUGUAUUUAUGCAAUUUUCUCUACUUUAUACAAUUAGAAACAAUUUUUAUACACUUGUGUUUGUAUAAAAAAUGAGGAAGCGAGUGAGAUACCGGAGGAGAGUGGCGAGCUUGAUAUUUGGGAGAGAGGCGCCGGGAAUUUUUUUACAAACGUUUGGUAUGGAGCACAAUUAAAUCAAACUCUAGCUACUAUAUUUAUUUUAGGUUAUUAGUUUGCUAUUAUAUACAAUUUUCCCUUUUAAAGAGCAUUUCAGCCCAAUCUUAAAUUACAUCAACCAAACCAGCCACUCCAACUUCCUUUUUAAAUAGUAUAAAUUUAAGGAAUUCCAUAGUGUAAUACAAUUAUUACAUUCUGUCCCGACAAAUUUAGUAUUUACUAAUAAUCCCUUAAAAUUGUUGUGGCGUGAUACAUUAGUAUGUUGUGAUAUAUGGUAAAUAAUAUAUAGUAAUUUAAAAUUGUUAAGAUUAAAAGGGGGUAAAAUGGAACAUUUAAAUUUGUUAUCUAAAUCAGCUUAAAUUACGGUAACAGUUCAUUAAUAAGCAUUAAUUCAACACGUAAUUGGAUAACAAUUUCAAAUUUUGAAAAUUCAAGAUUAUAUCAUCUAGUUUGAAGACAUUUUUAUGAACAUCCAGUUAUUAAACUUAUUGACUGAUACAUGAUAACAAUUUUCAAAAACUUUUGAUACAUAGGAAAUCAUAUGAUACACAUCAAAUUCAUGUAUCAAUGCAUCGUCUAAACACUAUAACACACUGAGUCGAUAUGUAUCAGCAAGCACACUUGAUGGCGCAGUUAUUAAGCUUAUUGACUGAUACAUGAUAACAAUUUUCAAAAACUCUUGAUACAUAGGAAAUCAUAUGAUACACAUCUAAUUCAUGUAUCAAUGCAUCGACUAACACACUAUAACACACCGAGUACUUAUGUAUUAAACUUAUUGUCUGAUAUAUGAUAACAAUUUUCAAAAAUUCAUGAUACAUAUGAGAUUCCUUUACUAAAAUUUUUACUAAUUUCAACAACAAUGGUUGCUGCUUCUUUUCUCUUUUUUGGGUGUAUUUUGUCAACCUUUGCUUUAGAUGAUUCGCCAAAAUCUUUGUUUGAAUCCUUCCGAACAUUCAUAGGAUCAUGCAAAGAUUUUUUUUUAUUUUCUUUCCAAUUUUCAUCGUCCGAAUCAUAAAUCCUUCUAUUAGUAAAAGGAUUCAUUAAUAUGAUGUAAUAGAACAAUGAACAGAAAUAAAAUAAAAAAAAGAACGGAUGAUGGAGUAAGAAGAAAAAGAAGACCUAGAGACGGCUGAUGUAAUAUAGAAAUGAACAAGAACAAAAAAAAGAACAGAUGAUGGAUUAAGAAGAAGAAAACUAUAGACGGAUGAUGGAGUAAGAAGAAGAAGAAGAACCAUAGAACAAUGGUCCAAUUUUCAGAAAUUUCAAAUUUUUUGAAUUUUGAAAUUCAAAAUUUCAUAUUAAAUGUUGUGAAAUGUUUUUAAUUAAAAUUAAUAAUUCAAAAUUCAGAAAGUGAUUCAUGAAUGUUUUAGUGGAGAAAAAAUAGGCAUGAUAUUGGGGAAGUGUGUGUUAUAGGAGAGAGAAGGCUAUGUAUCUCUAAACUUCUACUAAAAAAAGAAAAUUAUGUAAUAUUUAUAAAAAGAAGGGAAAAUUAGAGAAUACUAAACUUAUAGUUGUGUAUUUAAGUUAUUUUUCCUUUUAAAUAUACCGGCCCAACUUUAUUAUUCCCAAAUGGAAAAAUUACAUAAAUUAAUAUAUUUUAAAAAAUAAUUACUGAUUUUAGUGAUACUUUUUGUUUAUUACCAUUUAUAGCAAUGCUUUGUUAAAUCUAUAAUAUGUAUUAAAAGUGAAUUAUGUAUGCAAUAUAUAUGAAUUAUAAUUGUUUUUUGAAAUAAAUCAUGUUUGUUUGAUAAAAAAUUAUCACAUUGUAUUUUAAGUGUAUUAAAGUGUGUGAUAAAUUUAUUAUUCAUCAUUAAAAUUUGUAUUAUAUGUGAAUAAUAAAUUGUUCUUUGUAAUAUGUAUUAAACUUGUAUUAUAAAUGAAUUAAAAGUGAUCAAGUGAGGUAAAAAUAUUAUUGCUAUAAAUGAUAAAUAUUUUUUAUUAUAGUAUAUUUAUAUAAGUUUCCCUUCCCAGAUUUACCCCAACCCGGCCCAAUUCUAUCUUUAACAAGAGAACCCAGUAGUGUUCCAAACCGUAAGCCGACAAAAGUUCCAAGCACCAAAGUUUACGGACGGAAAACCAUUACACAACGCCUUCACGCCUAACUUCAAUGGUAAAAGCAGCGCGUGGAGGGCACCAAGAACAAAUAGUUAUUUAGUUUGUGGUUCGAUAUUGUAAUACUUCUGUUCAACUGAUUUGAGAUUUAUUUCUUGAUGGUCGCAAGUCAUUAGAAUUUUGAAAUGUUUUUGAUUUGGUGUCGGCUGGAAAUCAGUGGUGCAACUUGAAAUAUUGUUGUCUCAUUUGUAUGAAGUUUUAGGUCUUCCUGCCUAUAUUGCUGAUGCUCCUGAUUUUGACAUAUUGAAAUCGCUAUAUUUGUGUUUUGUAGUGUUGUUGUUGUUGUUGUUGUUUCAUUAAGUCGCCAGAGAUAUCACACCCUUUUUCUGCGCGUGGCGUAAGACGGUAAGGGUUUUUCCAAUUUAAGUGACGUUAUUGAUUAGGGAAUUAUUUUAUUUUUCAGCGUCGCCACUUGGAUUUAAGUUAUGGCAAGUCAACUUUUCUUUUAAUCCCUAACCAAAAGGAAAUAACUCUUUAUUUUGGUCCGUGGACCAGAAAUUUAGGUAAGGAAUCCUGUUGAAUGAGGAGAAGGUAUUAGGCAUCCUUCGAGUCCCGUGGUUCUAGCACGAUCACUUUUAUUGACUUAUAUUUAUUUUAAAAUAUUUUUGGAUAUAUUAUUUUUAGGUAUUGACUUGUUUGCAUUUUUAUUCUUGAACUUUUAUUUAGUCUCAAAUCAGAUGCAUAACUGCAUUCUCGACUUUGACAUUUGGAGACAUAAUUGUCUUCAUCUCUCAAGUUCCUCCCACCUAAUAAUUGUCUAUAAGUGUCACUCUAAAUAUUUAUAUUUAUAAACAAGGUGCGUCACCGCAUCCUUGAAUUUUUAAUGUCUCAAAAAGAUGCGUAACCACAUUCUUGAUUGAAAUAAAUAUUUAUUAAUAUGUCGAAAAAUAAUUUAUUUUAUUUUAUUUAUUUAUUUAUUUAUUUAUUGGUCUAGAUAUACCUACUUUAUCAUUAUUAUUUAAAUCAAGAAAAGCUGUAGCUAUAGUGAAAUCAACGUAGUACAAAAUUGAAAAUUGGAUUUCAUUAAGUAAAAAGAUAGAAGGGUUUAACAACAACACAAACUAAUUAAAUUUUAGCUUACAACCUUGAAAUAAUAAUAAUAAUAAUAAUAAUAAUAAUAAUAAUAAAACAAUACUACGACAAGAAUCAUCAACCACAUACAUAAUAAGAGAGAAUAGACAAACAAAAAUUUCAAUACAACCCUGAAAUAACUAUAGAUAAUAGAAAUUUGGAUAUUCAUUAAACUAUAUAUAGUGAAUAUCCUGAUACUAUAUUGCCUAAUUCUCGUUUCUAGGUACAUCAUCUAUAACAAACACGCCUAUUGAAACCCUUCAUGGAGGCGUAUAUUGGUGCUCAAUCCUUUUAUAACGAGGCGUAUAUAAGUGCUCAAUCCUUUGGUUUUGUGAUCCGCCAUGAGAUAUAGAGCAAGUCUUUUUCUAUUAAACUUAUUUCUUUUAUUGUAUUUUUUUGGGGGCCGGGGGGUGGGGGGGGGGGGAGGUGGACUUGAUAUACUCCUUAACUUUGUGAUUUAGAGUUGAUAUAUCCUCGUUAAAAAAGUGGGUUACAUGUACUCAUAUUAUUAUAUAAAUAAUGUCUUCAAAUAUACCAUUUUGUUCUAACGGGAGUGAAAACAAAUAGUUUUUUAAAUGCAUUUUUUUAUUUAUUUUUAAGAAGUAAAAUUUGAAUAUAUAAUCUUAGAACUUUUCUAGAAAAUAUACUCGUAUAUUGAUAUUUUAGUGUGUUUUUAAAAAAAAAAUUAAAACAAUAUUUCACUUCCAUUAGAUGAAAAGGUUAUAUGUGAACCACUUUUAUAAUGGUAAGACUAUAUAUGAACCACUUUGAAUUUAAAUGUGCAUUAUUUUAUAAUGAGCGACAUAUAAAUUCUAAUAAAUUAUAAAGUAGAAGAGUAUAUCAAGACCUUUUAUGGACUUUGGUAUUUAGAGAUUUUGUUAAUUAAAGUAGAGGAGUCGUAUAUAUAGGUGAAUAUUGAUAUGCUGCAACAUGUGUUAUUUAUUUUAAUGUGUGUAUUAUUGAGUAGUUAAACGUGUUGGGAGCCGUGCGUGCAUAUAUGCAUUUCAUGACAUAUAUAAUAAUAAUAGAGUGAAAAGAAGAAGAAGGCAGAAAUGAAUUGAAAAUAAAGGAAGUAGUUAAAAUAUUAUCCAAUCUCACCAUUUAUUUAUUAUAAAAUAUUAGAUACGAUACAUAAUUAAUUAAGAGAUGGAUGAGGUUAUAUAUAUAUAUAUACACACUCACUUCAUUUAUUUAGGUGUGUGUGAGUAUAUCAAGACUUUUUACGGACUUACAUAUUUAGAUAUUUUAGAGAUUCUGUUAAUUAAAGUAGAAGAGUAGGUGAAUAUUGGUAUGUUGAAAACAUGUGUUAUUUAUACUCAUGAAUAGAAUAAUUAAGUAGUAUAUAAUUGUUGUUGUUCAUCUUGUAUUCCAAACAUACUUAGAACAAAACUUUGAACAUCUUUGUAAGAAAACAAAGUUUAAGAACAUUUUCACAACUAGAAAAUUAAAACUAGUAGCGAAACUAGAAUCAGAAACAGAUUUUUUUAAAAAAAUAUACGAAAUAUUUUUCUUAAAGAGGAAUUGUUGUUAAUAUGUGUCUAAAUAAUCUUACUGAUUCCAACAAACUUUGCAGAAACACGAAGUUACCAAGUUUAAUGAACCAGUGAAGAACAGAAGAAUAGAAGAACUGAAAUUAAUUGACAAAUCUAAAAUUUGUAAAAGACGUACCAGAAUCUGAAAAUUUUUAAUAGGAAAAAGAUCAAGUCCACUGAAUUCACAGUGUCCCCUUAAGGAAAUUAUUAGUUAAACGUGUUGGGAGCCGUGCAUGCAUAUAUAUAUACAUUUCAUGACAUAUAUAAUAAUAAUAAUAAUAUUAUUAUUCAAUCUCACCAUUUAUUUAAUAUAAUAUUACAUGAUAAUUAAGAGGGCACUUCAUUUAUUUAGGUGUGUGUGAGUGAUGAUGGAGUAGUCCUAGGUAAUAGUGACGGUUGCUAGAGAUGUAAGUAUCCCAAAAAUUGCUGCCAAAGUUUGACCAACCACAUUCUCAAGUAAGUUUCCAAUAAGGAUAACAGGAGCUACAAGGGUUCCUGUGGUUGGAGUCAAAGUGCAAUUAGCAAUUGGGAGAGGAAUCCUUGCAAUACAUGUUCCUGACAAAAGACUUGUAUUGGUGGACACUGCAGCAUUAAUAAUGCCUUGACUAUUUGUGGACACUUGAGCAAUCGUUGUGUUGCCACAAAUAAUCGUUACAUUUGCUCCACUCACUCCGACGCCUGGGGCAUUACUUCCCGGUACGGAGCAAGACAAACUCCCCAAUAUACUUAAAUUAACAACACGAUCAACAACAGGUGGUACAAUCGGUGGUACUUGACCACCAACAGGUGGUACAAUCGGUGGUACUUGACCAACAACAGGUGGUACAAUCGGUUGGCCAAGAAUAGGACUAAGAAUGGGACCGACAAUUGGACUGAGAAUAGAACCAACAAUCGGUAAUUGGCCAAGACCAACAGGUGGUACUUGACCAACGGGUGGUACAAUACGUGGUGCAGGUUGCCCCAAAAUGGGACCCAAAAUGGGACGAACAAUGAGACCCAAACCUUGAGCAUGAGCUAGAGGACUGAUGGUGAUGAUGGAAAGUAGAACAACAAGGGAAACAACACACAUUUUUGAAGACAUGAUGAUUUGAUAAUAUUUUUUUCUGUUCAAUAUCCCCUUUUUAUAGUGCUCCUUUUUAUUUACUCCACCCCUACCUUAACUUACCCAACCCCCUAAUUUAUAUAAAUGAUUAAAUAUAUUAUCUUUCAUCCCUAAAUAGCAUUAUUAAAGACUUACAAUAUCUCCCUAUAUCAUCAUUAGUUAGGCUGAAACUCAUCAACUUGAACAACAUUGGGACCAUACAAAUUAAUUAAUUCAAUAUCAUUUUGACUUGUCAUAAGAAGAAAUUUUUUUGUAAGCUGAGGCCAAAAGUAGGGUGGGCAUUCGGUAUUUCGAUUCGGUUUCAGUUUUUUUUCCGAUUUUUUGAUUAUUGUAAAUUGUGUACCGAAUACCGAAUCAAAAUAUUUUGGUUCAGUUUGGUUUUUGUUAAUUCGAUUCGGUUUUUUAUUUCGGUUUUUUAUGUUGAUGGCGCGGCUGCUAGCUGCUGACUGGUUGAAUGUUGAUGGUGCCUGGCAGACGGCGUGGCGGCGCUGCUGCUAGUUGCUUGACAGCGCGGCGGCGCUGCUGCUGUCUGCUUGACGGUGCGGCGGCGCUACUGCUUCUUUUGGCGGCCGGCCGGCGCAGCUGCUACUUCUCGCGGCUGCUGCUGCUUCUUCUGGCGGAUGGCCGGCGCUGCUGCUUCUUCUGGCGGACGGCCGGCGCUUAUGCUGAAUCUGGCUGGAGGAGAAGAAGAAGAAGAAGAGGAAGAAGAGGAGAGGAAGAGGAAAGACCAAGAGGAAAACAAAUCAGUAGAAAGAUGAAAGAGAGAGGAAUAGGGCCCGUAGGGUUUCUUUUUAAAAAAAUUAUUUAAUAUUAAUAAUUAUUAAUUAAUAUAAUAUAAAUUAUAGUAUAUUAUUUCGGUUUAAAUCGAAAUAUCAAAAACUAAAAUAAUACAUACCGAAAAUCGAACCGAAAUACCAAAAAAUAUAAAAAAGUAAAUCGAAAACCGAACUGAAAACCGAAAUAUCGAAACCGAAAUUUUGAAAAAUUUCAAUUUCGUUUGGUGUUUCGGUUUUCCGAUGUUUGCUCACACCUAGCCAAAAGGCCUUUAAUUUGCUCAUAGGAACUAUUUUGAUGGAAUAAAUAACUCCACUUGGUUUGGGUGUCAAAAAAAACAACAAUAAAAAUAACAACAACCAUCGAAGAUUUUUGAAAAUAGUUGUGUGAUUGUUAAUCACUUCAUUUAAAAAAAAAUUAAUGUUAUAUCAUGUUUUUAAUUAUAAUAAACUACACUAUAUAAUAAUAAUAAUAAUAAUAAUAAUAAUAAUAAUAAUAAUAAUAAUCAAGGGCAAAAAGCUAAUCUACUUGGUCAACAUAAAAUGACUUUUAAGUUGAAAAAAAAACACCCCUCACCUAUCUUUUAGAUUUUGGCAUAAAAUAAGUCAUUUUGGACUUAAAAUAAGUCACUUUGAUAAUUGUCAAACACUCAAAUAAAUCAAAAACUGAAUUUUAAAUCAGUUUGACCAGCUUUUAAGCCCAUUCCAAUAGGCUCUAAGUGUGUAAAUAACUUUUCGAUACAAGUUCAAGGUGAAAUUUAUGUCUUUUCCCUUUGAAAUACCUAUCACAAUACUUUAUUUCUCACGCCAUGUAUUCAUGAUAUAAUAAAAAUAUAUAUAUUAAAUAUUGAAUAAGAAAUUUAUGGGUGCCUCGACUAUGUUAAAAAAAGACAUAUGUCUUAGGUCCCCCAAAUUUAAGGGGCCUCAUUUUUAAUAAUAAUAGGUUAUAAGUUAUUAUUUUUUUAACAAAUAUUGAAUACUAUUUAUAGAAAAAGUAAAAUUUUUCAUGAAAAAUAAAGGAAUUAUAGAAGAAAUUUGACAUGUUUGAAGUAAUAUAUCUCAAGAAAAAUAAUUUAAAAUAAGAAUGAUUAUAUUAUCAAUUGAAAACUAGAAGAAAUCAAUUAUAUGAAGUUAUUGACGAUUCAAGUCUAAUGAUCUAUUUAAUUUUUGAUUUAAGCCACUAAUAUACUUAAGUCACUUCUAAAGAAAUUUUGAUAUUUUUUCAAAGAAAGAUGUAACAUAAAAGUUAUAAUAAAAUAUGUCUUUUACUUUAUCAGAAAAUAUCAAGAGAACGUGGGAUGAAUGCAUGAGUUAAUUUGACAAAGUUUUAUCAUUCAUUACAAUAUUAUUAAAAUUAAUAAUCUAUCUUAUUUAAUGGCUCAAUAAGUGAAUGAAAAGACAUGUUAAAACUAAUGUAAUUAAGUAUUUUACUUUUACAAAUUAUGACUUAUUAAAACUAAUGUAAUUAAGUAUUUUACUUUUACAAAUUAUCAAAAAUUUCAAAGGACUAAAUCGUUAUGUCAGAAGUGAUUUUAUUUUCACGGUGUUAAGUGAAAUCGCUAAAUCACUGACCUACCAGCGAUUUUGUUCAUAUUUUUUUCCUAUUUUUUUUAAAGGCAACGAUUUUAGUGGAUUUUUUUCCUUACAUCUCGUAAUUUGAAAUAACUAAGAAAUCAAGAAUAAACAAAAUCGCUUCUGAUAUAGCGAUUUAGUGCUUUUAGUUUUAAAAAACUUAAUGUACCCUUUUGAAAUUUUUAAUGUUUUUUUUAACUCAAAGAAAAUUUUUGUAUGGGUAGUGUUUUUGGAUUUUUUUUUAGAAAAAUAAAAUUGCUUUACUGUCGCAUUUUUAUUUUAAUUGUUUUUAAUAUCGCUGCCUAAAAAGCGAUUUAAGUGGGAAAUUAUUAUACUUUUUGGCAAAUGGUAGCGAUUUGUGUGGAAUAUUUUUUAUUUCUUUCUUUUUAAAAAUCUUGGCAACUCUUUAGUUAAAUAACUUUUAUUAAGAUAUUGCUGGCAAUUAUUUUUUAAAAAUUCGUUUUAAAUGUUGGUAAUCAAUUUUAAAAAAUAAUUAUACAAUUUUUUUAAAAAAAAAAUUGGCACUGAUAUUUUUUUUUAAAAAAGAACUUCCACCAAGCAGCGAUUUUUUAUAUAAAAAUCACGAAAAUAGCUGUCAAGAAUUUUUUUUCCAUUAAAACGCUGUUUUUUUUAAUAUAUAAAUGUUGCAUUGCAGUGAUUUAAAAAAAGAGAAAAUUGUAUAUAAUAUAGUAAACUAAUAAUAUAAAAUAAAAUGAAGCAGCUAGGAUUUGAUUUAAUUGUGCUCCAUAGCAAAUGUUUGCAAAAAAUUGCCAGACACCUCUCUCCCAAAUAUCUCGCUCGCCACUCUCCUCCAAUCUCUCGCUCUCUUCCUCACUUUUUAUACAAACACAAGUGUAUAAAAAUUGUUUCUAAUUGUAUAAAGCAGAAAAAAUUGUAUAAAUACAUAUAUUUUUGUUUCCUUCUCUCCUCUCUUCUAGAUCUCGCUCGCCACUCUCCCAAAUCUCGCUCGCCACCCUCGCCUUUCUCACUUAUAUAAACAGAAACGAAAUGUAUAAAUUGCGUUUCUGUUUGGAUAAAGCGUGAGAAAAUUGUAUAUACACAUGCAAGUACAUAUAUUUUCGUCCUAUACACCCAGUUUCUUUUGCCUUUCUCUCUUUCUCAUUUUAUACAAUUUUCAAAUUGUAUCUAAUUUCUUUCUUCCUCGUUUUAAGUAAAGUUAUCAUUACAUAAAUCAAAUGGAGUGAGCUCAAACUUUAGUUAAUUUUUUUUAAAAAAAAUAUUUUGUUGUUUAACAAUUUUUAAAAUGAAAAUGCUAAACCUUUUUCACAAUUAUGUUUUAUAGUUUUUUUAUCAAUAUCUAGUCGAUGAUAACCAUAAUUUUAAUAUAAAUAAUAUAAUAAGGUAACUUAAUUCUGAAAUUCAAGUAUUGAUAUUUUUGAGAAAAUAUUUAUUUAGAAAUUGUAAAACAUUCAUAAUCUAAUAUUUAAUAUGUUUCUUACUCUCAACGAAUGACACUAAUUCAUCAUGAUUCAAAAUUGUAAGAAGUAAAAAUCAAUACUAAAAAGUGCAACUCAUUAUUAUAUGAAGUUUAAUAUGUAGUUUAUCUAUUGUCGAAAGUUUUCCAAGUAUAUGAUAUAUAAUUCUAUGAUAAAUUAAUUUUUGAUCCCAUAUAUUUAUACUAUUUUCAAAUUUAUACCGUUAAUUGAUUAUAUAUUUUCUUAAACUACAAUUACGCGAUCAUUAUUUAUCAAUUCUACUUUAUCAACUUUAUAUUCUUCUUUUUUAUAUCUUUAGAAUUGUGCUAUUUUUGUUUUCUUAUUUAAGUUACAAUUUUAAAGAUAAAAUAAAUAUUUUUUGGAGAUAAAAUAAGUUAAAUAAAAAACUAUAUGAAUACUUAUGUUGAAAAAAAUUAUAUAUAAUUAAAAAAUUGUCCUAUUUUUAUUUUCUUAUUUAAGUCACAAUUUUUAAAGAUAAGAUAAAUAUUAUUUUGAGAUAAAAUAAGUUAAAUAAACUAUAUGAAUACUUUUGUUUAGAAAACAUUAUAUAUAAUUAAAAAAAUUACAUAUAUGAAAGAUUAUAAAAUUAUACUGGUUAUGUUGUAGUAGUAAUAAACAUAGAUGAACAAUUUGAAUUGUCAAGAGUAUAAAAAUAAAAAUAUUUUUCACAUUAUUAUUAUAUCAAACAAAUACAAAUUGAUUUUCAAAAAGAAUAAUAAAAUGUAUUUGUGGGUCACACAUGAAACAAAAAUUAUGUGAUUCUUGAAAAAAAAUAAUAGAUUCUUCUAGAAAACUAUUUUGACAAUUAAUUAUACAAUUAUAAAUUUAAAACUUUGCCCAUAAAAAUAAUUAAAAUUACAAAAUUGUCAUUGAUUGGCCUCAUCAUGACUCUUAUGUAUAAUAGAAACUAGACAAUUGAAGGCCCGUUCAUGGGCUCAAUAUAAUUAAUUAUUUUUUUCAAUUUUAAGUUAAAAAAAUUAUCCAAAUUAAUAUCUUAUUUUAUCAUAGUUUCUAAAAUUUUCUACUAUUUAAACAAUUACAAAAAUGUCCUCUCAGAUACAUUCUUAUCCUCUGUCGGACACAUCAGUAUCUCCUCUCGAAUACAUUCCUAUCAUUUCUUGAAUACAUCUUUAUCUCAUCCUGAAACAUCCAUAUCCUCUCUUGGAUACAUCUCUCCCCUUUCGGAUACAUUCAUUCUCUCUCGAAUACAUCCCUACCUUCUCGGAAUCAUCGUGAGCUCUAUGUCUGCAAGUUUCCUCAAUAGCAAUGUAUCACGAUCGAUGUAUCCGCAUGUGUUGAUUUAUCUGAAAUUAUUUAAUUUUAAAAAGAUUUCGUAAUUUGAAAAAAGUAGGAAUAUAAUGUAAUUAACUCUUUACUCUAUGACAUAUUUUUCUUUGUAGUCAGUUUCAAAAGAAUGAUGUAUAACAUAUUUAAAUAACAUUUUGACUUUAAAAUAUUCAUUCUAUUCUUAGUAAUAUUAUUUAUAGUCAUAUGAACAUCUAUGGUUUGUUUUAGACCAUGAGUUUUAAAAGUGUUUUUUCUUUUAAAAAAUUUUCGUGUUAAGUUAAAUUAAAAUUUCAUAAACCGAAAGGGAGUGAGUACAAACUUUAGAUCAAUUUUAUAUUUAUAAAAUUAAAGUUUUUGUAACUAUUUUGUCUUUUAACAAAAUUUAAAAUGAAAUAAUUCACAAUUAUUUUUAUAGUAUUUUUUUAAAAUCAAUAUUCUAUCAAUAAUAAUAAAUUUUUUUAAUUUAAAUAAGAUAAUAAAGUAUUUUAAUUUUGAAAUUCAUGUAUUGAUAUCAAUUGAGAAAAUAUUUAAUUUUAAGUUGUAAAACAUUCAUAAUCUAAUAUUUAAUGUGCUCCUUACUCUCGAUGAAUGACACUAAUUUAUAAUAAUUCAAGAUUGCAAGAAGUAGAAAUCGAGACUAAAACGUGCAACUCACUAUUAUAUGAAGGUCACUAUGUAAUUUAUCUAUUGUGGAAGUCUCAUUAGUAUAUGAUAGAUAAUUCUAUGCCAAAUUAAUUUUUGUUUUCAUAUAUUUAUACAAUUUCAAAAUUUAUCCCGUUAAUUGGUUAUGUAUUUUAUUAAACUACAACUGCACUCAUUAUUUUAUCUUUUUUUUUAUUCUUACAUUAUCAACUCUAUUUUUUUAUCUCUUUAGAAUUGUGAUACUUUUGUUUUCUUAUUUAAAUCACAAUGUUUUAAAGAUAAAACAAAUUUUAUUUUGGAGAUUAAAUAAAUAUUAUUUUGAAGAUAAAAUAAAAAAAAGAUUUACUAACCUACAACCAGGAAGAUCCACUUUGAAACCCAGCGACGAAGAAAACUUUGAAACUCUUAGCCGCGAAAUGAGGGUGAAAGAGUAAAAUCAUUUCUGGAAAAUAAUGAAACGAGGGGAAAAAAGCGUAAUAAAGAUUUAAGGAAUUAGUCUAUGUGGUAGUGGACCCUAUUGACAUGCAAUAUGGAAUUCACAUAGCAUUUAACAACUUCUCUUAAUUAGAAGGGCAAUUUUGACCCAAUAGUUUCACGGAAAGGGUACUUUUGAGCCGAAAUAUACUUUAAGGGUAAAUAUGAGUUAUUUCAGAUAGUUUAAGAGUAUUUUUUACCCUUUUACUUUUAGUCUACGUGGUAGUGGAACCCUAUUGACGUGCAAUGUGAUGGCAUUUAACAACUUCCAUUAAUAAGAAUUGCACUUUUGACACAAUAGUUUGACGGGGAGGAGAGUUUUGAGCGGAAAUAUAAUUUAAGGUAAAUAUGAAAUAUUUCAGAUAGUUUAAGGAUAUCUUUGACCCUUUUAUGUUAAAACUAUAUGAAUACUUAUGUCUAAAAAACAUUGUAUAAAAUUAAAAGGAAAUUAAAUCAUGGAAGAUGGUAGGCUAUACUGAAUAUGUUGUAGUAACAACAAACAUAUAUAAACUAUUAAGUUGUAUAAAUAUUUUUUAUUUAUUAUAAUCAAACAAAUAAAAGUUAAUCUUUAAAAAUUAAAUAAAAUGAUUACAUGGAGUCCCAUGAAACAAAACUUUUUGUGACUCUUGAAAAAGAUUAUUGGAUACUUCUAGAAAAUUAUUUUGACCACUGAUUAUGCAAUUAUAAAGUUGUAAUUUUGCCCAUAAAUAAUGUUUAAAAUUACAAUAUUGUCAUUGGUCAUCCUAAUCAUGACUCUUCUAUAUAAUAGAAAUAAUAAUAACUAGAUAUCAGGUGCCCGUGCUAACGCAAACGCAACGUAUGUUAGAUUUUUCUUCUUCCAAUUUAUGUGACAAAAAUGAAAUUUGAAAAAAAUGAACUAAAUUUUUUAUAUGUGUUUUUUUUAAAAAAUAUUUUAAAUUAUUAAUUUAUGUAUCUUUUUUGUCAUUUUCGAAUAAUAUAUGUUACUUUAUCUAUUUUAUUUUAUAUGAUACAAGUGAUUUUAGGAAAGUAAACGAAAUUUCUUAUAUGAUUUUCAUAUAUUUUUAGUUGUCAUUUUACUGCGAUUCAUAGUACUUUUUAGUUAUUACGUUAUUUUCAAACAAUAUAUGCAACUUUUUUUUUGUUUCAAUAAAAAUAAGGGAGUCAACAAAAUUUCAUUAUGUUUUUUCAACUACAUUUUUCUAAAAAUAUUUUAAAUUGUUACAUUGCUUUUUAAAGUUUUUUUAAAUGUAACUUUCAAAUAUGUAACAAAUUAGAAAUUAAAACGAAGAAUUAAAGUUUUCAAAUCAUUAUAUUUCUAUAUUAGAAUAUUAAAACCUUUAAAACUACAUAUAUAUGCAUAAAUUAGUAGAAGGAAGCCUAACAACUUAUUUUUAAAAAAAUAUAUGAGAGCUCAUUUUAAUAGUAAUACAUACAUAUUUCAUUUUUCAAUAUCCGAAUCCCUCCUUUUCGAUUUAUAUAAAUUUAAUUUAAUUUAAUUUUUAUUUUGUUUCAAAAAGAAAAUAACUUCUGAAUUUUAUUUGUUUAUAAAGCAUAUUUAAGAUCACAAAAUCAAAAAAAAAUAUUUCAAUUCACAAAAUUUAAAUAUACAUAUAAAUUUUAAUUUUAAUUUUGAUUGGUUCCACCUAAUAUUAUACUUGAUAUAUAAUUAUUAAGAGCUAAGCGUAAUCAUUAUCUAUUUACUUUCGUAUAAUAAAUAGAUAUCACAAUAACUCUUAAAAAAUGAAGAAAUAACGAAAAUGAGAUAAUACUAAUAAUAAUCACUAAAGAUUUUCUAGAACUAGUUAAAUUUCUUGUUAUCAAUCGUGUUAGUUUUUUGCUUGCAUAAAUUACAUUUUUACCUUCGAUCAUCAUUCACUUCAUAUAUAGAAAGAUGUUUCUAGAAUUAUUUAUUCUUGAUAAAUUAUUGUUAGAAUGAAAUUACAUUUUAUUCUUAGUCGUCUUUAAUACAAAGUAUCAUCCUAUUCAUUUUUUAUUUGUCAAGUUACUUUUUAAGAUCUUUUUCUUUAAUUUCAGUCUAAUAUAUAUUAUUAAUUUAUCACACUUAUUUAUUUUCAAGUAUAUUAUUAGAGUCAAAAUAAAGAUGAAAAUAAUUAAUUCAUGAUAACUUUUUAUAUAAAAAGUAGGCAUAUAUUAUAAGCAUAAUGAAUAGAAAAAAAUAUUAAGAAUUAAUUUAAAGUAAUAGUAAAGUAGAGUAAUUAUAAAAUAGAUAUCACAAUAACUCACAAAAGAAAAGAAAGUGAAGUGAUAACAAAAUAAGUUAAUGGUAAUAAUAAUAACUUAAAAUAUUUCUAGAACUAUUAUUUUUAUUUUUUUUUGUUAUCAUUCUUCAUAGAUUUUUGUUAGCAUGAAAUUAUAUUUUUGCUGUAACGACCUGUUUAGUCGUUUGGAGCAGCAGAGUUAAUUUCUGAAAAUCACUGUCUGGGUCGACGGAUCCCACGACAGACCGUCAUGGGCACGACGGACCGUCGAGGGUGUCUCGUGCCAAAACACUUAGAAUUUAGAAAUUUGGGUACUGAGAUCGACUCUCUGAACUUCACGACGAAAUGGCAGGACGGACCGUUGAGGGCUCGACGGACCGUCACAAAUCCUUCCGCAGAAUUAACUCUCUGAACCUUGUGACGGACGUGCAGGACGGACCGUCACAGUUGUGACGGACCGUCACAGGCUGCGUGACCCUGACUGGGUCGGAUUUCUGUUAAAUAUUUUAAGGGGCGUUUUGGACUAUUCCUACUUAUAAUUAUAAAGUUAGUGGUUUAAUGUUAAUAAUUUAAUUACUUGGGGGUUAAAAGAGAGAACCUUGAAACAAAUAGUGGGAUAUUUUAUCAUCUUUUAUACUUAAUUAUAUGCUAAUUAGGGUAAAAGAAAGAGGGUUUGAAUAAGAAAAAGAAAAAGAACAGAGAGAGAGGGAGAAACGAUCGAUUGAGAGAGAAGAAGAACGCAGCUUUGGGAAAGUAGAUUGCUUGAUCACAAUCCUUCGGUGGAGGUAGGUUAUGGUUUAUGCUAUUCGUAGUAAACUCUUAAUAGCGAAUGAUAUGUAUUGGGUAGUGUUGUAAACCCUUCUAUAUGCUUAAUUGUAUGCUUGCAUGAAUGUGAUUAUAUAAUUGUGAUAAAAUAAGCAUGAUGAAGCUAUUGAAUCCUAAAUCUUGAAAAUCCUAAUCUACUUUGUUAAUGAUGAUGCCUUGGUAUAAAAGAAGGCUUGAUGAACGAAAGUAGUAAGAUUAGGGGAUCGGAGUGUCACGUUCCGACACCAGGAUAGUAUAUGGAUCGGGUGCCACGUUCCGGUACCAGGAUAGUAUAUGAGGAUCGGAGUGUCACGUUCCGACACCAGGAUAGUAUAUGGAUCGGGUGCCACGUUCCGGUACCAGGAUAGUAUAUGAGGAUCGGAGUGCCACGUUCCGGUACAAGGAUAGUAUAUGAGGAUCGGAGUGUCACGUUCCGACACCAGGAUAGUAUAUGGAUCGGGUGCCACGUUCCGGUACCAGGAUAGUAUGAUGAGGAUCGGAGUGUCACGUUCGGACACCAGGAUAGUAUAUGGAUCGGGGUGUCACGUACCGACACGAGAGAAAUAAAGAUAAUGAAUCUUGAAAGAUGUUAAUAUACUCAAUUUAAUGAACCUAAUUCCCAAAUGAGUAUGAUGGGGAGGCGUGAGUCCUCAUUGAUGUGCUUGGUGUUGUGACCAAGAGUUAUGAUAAUUAUAAAUGCCGCAUGUUGAGUAUUGUAGUUGAUUUUAUGAUAUAUCUGAUAUAUACUAUUUUCUAUUUUGAGUUGGCCGAUGAUAUCUACUCAGUACUCGUGUUUUGUACUGACCCCUACUUGUAAUUGUUUUUCUUUGUUAUUUGUGGAGUGCAGCAAACGUACCGUCGUCUUCAACUCAACCGCAACUCUAGCCAGUCUUCAUUACACCGGAUUUCAGGGUGAGCUAACGCUUCUAGCUUGGACUGGAUCUUCUUCUUCAUGUCUUGAUGCCUUGAAGUUCCGGCAUGGACUAGCUUUUUAUUUAUUCUAGCUUUCUAAAUACUCUUAGAAUUAGUAAUUUGAGGAUAGAUGUUCUUGUGAUGAUGACUUCCAGAUUUUGGGAAUAAUAAGUAUUGAGUUUUUAGAAGUUAUUUAACCGAUUUUCAUUAAUGAGUUUAAGUCUUCCGCAUUAUAUUCUGUUUAUUAUGGUUCAAAUGUUGGGGUUUAGAUUGGUUGGUUCGCUCACAUAGGAGGGUAAGUGUGGGUGCCACUCGCGGCCCGCUUUGGGUCGUGACAUUUGCCCUUGAUUAUUAUUCACUUCAUAUAUAGAAAGAUGUUUCUAGUAUUAUCAAUUAUCUUGCUUAAUAGAUUUUUGUUAGCGUGAAAUUACAUUUUUGCCCUUAAUCGUCCUCCCACUUCACUCUUCUAUAUAAUUGAAUAGAAAUACAUUAUAUAAAAUAAAUAUUUAUAAAUGAUUAUAAGUUUUCUAUAUCCUUUUUAUAGUGAUUAAUUUACAAUAGGUAAAUGGAUAUGUAUGGGUAAUAAAAUAUAUAUGAGAAUAGUAAUUUAAUUGUGAUAUAUGGCAAAUUCAUCAAAUAGUCAGUCUCUAAUAAUUUAUAUAUUAGUAGUGAAGUAUAAUGUUAAAUUUUAAACGAGGAUUUACAUAACGUGAGAAAGACUUCUUUUCUUUUUUAUUUUCUCAAGAGAUUUUUACAUUUUAAAAUUAGUUUAUAACUUAACAUUAAAUUACUUUAUAUGUAUUUUACUUAUUCAAACUCUCACAUAAUUACUUGUACAUUUGUUUAUUUAUGGUCUUCAUAUAUAACCCCUAGUAUAGCCUUGCUAAACUAAAUUUUGAAAAUUAUUACUAGUAAGGUGUUUGUUUCCUCACCUCAUAUAUUUACAUCAUAUGCAUAAAAAUUAUGUAAAAUGAAUAACAUAUUUUUUUAUUUAUUUUUAAAGAGACUAGUUAUUUGGGGCCGCUAAAGCCUACUUCAAAAUUAGCAAAUCAAAAGAAAGGAAGUGUACCUAUCAACCAAGUAAAAAUGUCAACUACUUCUAAAAAGUUUGGACAAUUUUUAAGACUAUGAAAAUAUAGAGACAUAGUAAAAUAUUGCGUGAAUCACUUAAUAAAAUCGAAAACAUAAUAUAUUGGAGAUAGUUUUACUAAAAAUAAUUUUACAAUAAAAUUGAAAUGUGUACAUAUUUAUUGAAUUGUGGGUAUAGAGACAAUUUUUAAGCUUUUUUCUGAUUUACAUAUAUUAAAUCGCGAAAGAAGUCAUGUGUUCUUAAUAAAAUAAUCGCUAAUGGCAAUUAUAUUUGCUGCUAAAAUUCUUCCUCUAAAUAACUUAAUUUACACUUUUAGCGUUUAAGACGCAAUGUCCAUCUUAAACUAAUAAAUAUGAGAAAUAAAUAAACUCAAUUGGGGGAUAACAAUUUCUUAAUUAGUAUGUUAUAUAUACAUUAUUUCAAUUAUACUUUCGAGUUUUGAUAUUACGAAAAUAUAAUGUCAAACUUUAAAGACAAGAAUUUACAAAUGAGAACGACUUUUUUUUAAAAUAUAAUGUCAAACUUUAAAGACAAGAAUUUACAAACCAUGAGAACGACUUUUUUUUAUUAUACGUUUUAUUAUAUAUAUAUAUAUAUACAUACACACACACAUAUAUAUACAUAUAUCAUUGACUCUAUAUAUAUAAGAUAGGAAAGAGGUUAAAAUAUAUCAUUGAACUUUCAGAAAAAAACUCAUUUAUUCAUCAGUUAAAAGUUUGGCUCAUUUAUGCCAUUACCGUUUAAAAAAGAUUCAUUCUUGCCAUUAUUUUUUAAUAAUGGUUUCGCAAAACCAUUUUUAAUACGUGACCAAUUAUAAUCGGCUACGUCCUCAAUUUAUUUAAUUAAAAAAUCAUCAUUCUAAAAAAAAUUGAAUUCAUUUUUUUUGAUUUUUUUAUUAAAUAAAUUGAUGACAUGGCUAAUUAGAAUUCAGUGGGAUUUCUUAAAUUUGGGCGGGUCUUUAUUUGAGUGGGGUUUUUAUUUAAUGUUUUCUCAGAAUUGAUUUUUUAUCAAAAAAAAAUAAAAAAUGAUGUGGCCGAAUCAUAACUUGUCACGUGUGAAAAGUGGUUGGGCAAAAUCGCCGUUAAAAACUAAUGGCAUGAAUGAGUCUUUUCCUAAAUGGUAAUAACAUGAACGAGUCAAACUUUUAACGGAUGACAUAAAUGAGUCUUUUCUAAAAGUUCAACGGCAUAUUUGAGCUUUUUCCCUUAUUAAAAAAGUGGCUUACAUACACUCAUAUUAUUACAUAAAUAUUCUAAAAUAUACCAUUUUGUUCUAACGGGAGUGAAAACAAAUAUUUUUUUAAACAUAAUUUUUUAUUUUUAAGAAGUAAAAUCUGAAUAUAUUAUCUUCCACUUUCCUAGAAAAUAUUAUCCUACAAGAUUUUUUAUUUUUAAAAUUAAAAUUAAUAUUUUCACUUCCAUUAGAUGAUGAAGAUAUACCUGAAUCACUUUUAUAAUGGUAAGGAUAUGUAUGAACUCUUUUAAUUCAAAUGUGAAUUAUUUUAUAAUGAGCGAUAUAACAAUUUUAAAUUGCAAAGUUAUGAAGACCUUUUUAUUUAGGGAAAAGGGUCUGAUAUACCCCUCAACUUUGUCAUUUAGAGCUGAUAUGCCCCUUGUUGUGAAAGUGGCUCAUAUAUACCCUUACUUGUAAACAAAUGGCUCACAUAUACCCUUUUCCUCUAACGGAAAUGGAAAAAAAAAUAAUUUUAAUCUAAUUUUUUAAUAUUUUUUGUCUAAAAAUUAUAAUCCCAUAUGAGUAAAUUUAAUCCUCGUAAAACAUAUUUUUUUUAACCUUUUUUAGUUUCAAUGACUAAUUUAUAAUUAUUAUUUUGAUAAUCAAAUUUAUUUAUGUUUCACUAAUAUUCUUGUAAAACUUAUUGUAGAUAACCAAAUUUUUUCUUCGAAUAUGAAAUUAAAUUACAAUACACACAAAAAAUAGUUUAAAUUUUUUCUCUUUAAACUAAGGAUUGAAAGAAAAAACAUAAGAAUAAGAAACUCAAAUAAUUAUAAUAAAAAAAGUCAAAAAAUAAUUUAUAUAUGAAAAAAAUCAAAAUAUACCUUGAACUUUGAUAGAAGAAUCAUAUAUAUCCCUAAAUAAUUUUUUUAAAAAAUUACAAGUAAUAAAUAUCAAUUUAAAACUAAUUUUUUAACUUCCGUUAAAUGAAGGGUAUAUAUGAGCCAUUUUGUAACGGGAGGGGUAUAUGUGAGCCGUUUGUAUAACGGUAAGGGCAUAUAUGAGCCACUUUUAUAACGGGGGGUAUAUUAGCUCCAAAUAACAAAGUUGAGGAGUAUAUCAGACUCUUUUUCCUUUUAUUUAUUGUAUAAAAGCAUUUCAUAUACUAGUUACAUAUUUAAAUAUUGAAAAUGUUGAUAAGAGAUCCCAUUAAAUGCUAAAGUAUUGGUAUUUUAAAAAAAUUUCCUUUUAUUUAUUGUAUAUAUCUAACAUCUCGUAACUUCAAAUAACUAAGAAUAAACUAAGAAAUCAAGAAUAAUCAUUUUUGGAAAUAAAUAGGAAAUCUGAAAAAUUUCCCAAGUGUAAAAGUGAGUUUUUGGUCAAUUUCAAACGACCAUAACUCCCAGCUUAGGAGGAGUUAGUGUGAGUUCCUUAUAUGGUUGGAAAUCCCUUGGAAAGAAAUUUCCAACAACGCCAAGUUUGUACAUUUUAGAUGUCGUAUGAAGGAGAUAUGACUUUCGAAAGUUUGGUUGUUGGAGUGAGGAAAAUUCAAUCCGGAUUUAGUAAGGAUAAAGUAGUCUUUUCACCCUAGUAUUUUCUAAUUCGUUUUAAGGGUUUAUUAGGGGUAAAAUCAAGUCCAUAUUCAGUUUUGAAAAAGUUGAGAACGCUCAUGGCUUGGGAGAAAAGAGAAGAGAAAACCAAAAUUUCUUCAAGAACGCUAAGGUUUCGCUAGAGGAAUUCAUCGGGGGUGAUCUCUAUCGAGGUAUAUGAGAUCUUUCUAUGUUGGGUUCGUUCACCCACACACCAACAUGUUUAUUUAGCAAUUUUUGUAUUGAUUGAAUAAUGAAUCUUGAAGUUCUUGAUGAGCAAUUGUUGAAUCCUUAUUGGUAGAGUUGUAGUGUACCUUUAGUUGGUGUUGAUUCGUAUUUUCAGGCUGUUUUACGAGUCUAAACUAUUGGGUAUUGAGUAUAUUAGUGAUUGAUACGCUCAAACUUACUUUUUAAAUAAGAAGUAAAGCAGUAAAUGGGGGUUUCUAUUCCUAAAUAAAUGAAAAUAACUAGCGAAAUUAAAGGAGACAACUAACAACUUCGAAUGUUGGAGUUUAAUCACUUAAUCAAAGUAACUAGGGUUUACGUGUUCCCCACAGGUUCAUAACUUGAUAAUUCUAACUAUAACAAUUCUUUCCUAGUAUCUUGCAUGCAAAGUGAUAAGUUAUGUAUUUCUAAAUCCUUGGUCCGGCAUCUAGAAAAUUUCACUCGGCACCUUGGUCCGACUACGUGUGUUGCUAUACUAACCCUUAUAUUUACCUCAUAUUAAGCAUCGUAUUCGAUAUUUGACUAAGUUAUUACCCCGUACCAAUCAAUACUAGCCUAUUAGAUAGUAUACACUAAAUUUAUAUUGAUAAUUCUUUUCCUAUUAUCUUCCUCCUUGGUCCGACAAGUAGCAUUAAGGCGAGUUCUAACGUUGGCCAUCCGUUAAAAAGACUUCCAAGCGAAAGAAUUAUCAAUACAUGCAAGACACUAUUCUAGAAUUGUUAUUUUAGUUAGAUUUUACCUCAUUAUUCGCCUAUGGUUCCCACAACCCUAAUUAUGGAGUUUAGUUACCCAUAAUCAUAAUCACAAUAUUCAAAUAUAUGAUAUAAGAAUUCAUGCACUUACUUCAAUGAGAAAGAGUAAAAUCCAAAAGUUAGCUUGAUUAAUCAACAAUCAAUUACAAGAAUAUCAAAAUAAUCAAGAAUCUCACAAAAAGUCUAAAAAAUAAUCAAGAGUCUAACAAUAAUCAAGGGCCUAACCAAAUAAUCCAGAGUCUAACCUCAAAAACGAGGUUUUUCAAACUAUUUAUAAAAAAUAAAAACCUAAUUACAUAAGGACUCUAUUUGCUGGAAAUCUGUCAAAACGCGGCUGGGUCAACGGACCUCGCGACGCAUCGUCGUGGUCACGACGGACCGUCAUGGACACGACGGACCGUCAUGGACUCCGUCGUCCCAUACUUGAUGCAAUUUCUUAUGCUGCUCUCUUCAUUACUCUCGACAGCAGGUAUGAUGGAUCGUUACAGGCACAACGAUCCGUCGAGGGUCUCCGUUCCAAAACACUUGAACUCUUGGAAUAUGGGUACUGGGACUACUUCUCUGAACUUCAUGACGAACCUGCAGGACGGACCGUCAUGGAUACGACGGUCCGUCACGCAUUUUGUAACCCCACACUUGGUCAGACUUCCCCAUUUUCCUUCAGCAGCUGCACUACGUUGCCACCUACGGACCGUCACGAGCAUGACGGACCGUCACAAGCAUGACGGACCGUCACAAGCAUGACGGACCGUCACAAGCAUGACGGACCGUCACAAGCUCCGUAGGUGGUCUCUUCUGCAUUUCUUUGCUCAAAAACCUCCGCAUUCAUCUUUGGAUAGAUUUCCUGCAAAUAAGGAGAAACUUAUAUAAAAAUUAGCACAAAAAGAUUUUGGACACACUAACUUAAGGAAAAAAUAUUAAUAAUACCGUGACACCAUAGUAUAUCAGUGAUCCUAAGUGUUUGGGAAAAAUCCAUGAAUGUUUUGAAGGUUUAGAGUUGAAAAUCGGAGAAGAAAAGUCAGAAAACUCGUCUGACAGGUCUUGUGGCACCGUGCCUACAAGAGCCCCUCAGGACAGACUCUUUCUGUCAGGCUCUGGCGCGCCGCCGUGCCAGCUAGAGCGCCUGAAGACAGUGUCUGUCGGUCAGGCGCUGGUGCCCCGCGCCUCUCAGAGCGCCAGGGUCACCUGGAGAUUCUAUUUCUCUCCCAUCUUUUCGUACGAGUUCCUAAGUGACGUAUCUAUUAUUUCUAGUUAGUUCCAAUACUCUAAAGUAAAUAUAAACAUUAUGAAAUCAUCCAUAAUAAUGAGAUCAGGAUCCGUGAAUGCAUAAUCCAAUUCAAGGGAAGUUAAGAUCAAAGUCAAAAAAAGUUAAGAGUCAAGUCUAAAAGUUAAAAAACAAGUCAAAGUAAGUUCCUAAAGCAUUCAAGAGUCUUAAACAAACAUUUUAACUUUGUUUUAAGGUUCAAGCAAUGAGUUGAGCAAAGAGUAAAAGAGUUGAGUUAAAUUUUCAAAAGCUAUAAGGGAACUAAGUAUUCCCUAAGAGUUAAGUUUCAAGUUAAGCAAAUAGUAACAAGUUGAGUUCACUUCUCAAGAGUUAGAAGGGAACUAAGUAGUCUCUAACAGUUUAAACAAGAUGUUUUUAAACUUUUGAGAAAGAAAGGAAGCUAGACUUCCACAGAGCCUAUGACUAGUUUUAGUAAAAGAAAAAGGAAACUAUGAUUUCUAAGAAAGUUUUUGAAGCAAAGUUUGAGAAAUUAUCUCAAACUAGAGAAGAAGUUGUUUUAAAAAAACAUAUGAGCUAAGUAUUUUGGGAGUAGUAUUGAGCACCGAUAUGGUGACGCGAGUUCAUAUUAACUCAAGUCUCCAUAAACCAUUGAGCCAACAUGGAGAUAUAAAAGAUCAUACUUUUUAGAUGAUUCCUUAGUAAUUUUAGCAUAGACUAGUGAAUCCUCUUAGUAGUUCAGGUUCUAUAUCGACGACAAGGUAUAGAGUGGUCCUCUUGCAACAUGAGGUAAUACGUUGUACCAUCACUUAGGCUCAUAGAUGGUUGUCGGUUAGAUAAUCUCUCAAAGAAAUUAUAAUACUUUCAAAUAUAUGAGUAAAGUUGAGUUUAUUAUUGAUUUAUCUUUAAUGAACUAAGUGUUUACACUGUUUUACAAGCUUUUCUUAUAUCGCAUGUGUCCUUACUGCUUUAUAUUGAGUCGUUAUUAAUGAGUUGAGCAGAACCAAGGUAAGUUCUUCCUUACUCCUUUCAAGCCUUAUAGUAGUGUUUAGUAUUCCAAUUCGCAUACUCGUUUGGCCUGCAUGCAUCGUCUUAUAAUGCAGAAGCAGGUAAUUAGGAUCAACAUGCAGCACUUUGUUGAACCAGUUUGAGCUCUAGAGUCAGUGGUGAGCCUCCAUGCAUUUCGGAGGAUCCUUUUAUUGCUAUCUAGUUAGUUCAAUAGAAUGUUGUGGGGUUUGUCCCAACAUUCAUCUCAGUCAGUUUAGAGGUUUCAUAGACGGAUAGUAGUAGUUAAGUUGUGUCUCUUUAUUUCAGAUUCUAUAUUUGAGACUUAAGUGCAAAUUUGGCCAAGACAGUAUUUAAAGUCAUUUUUAUGAGAACUUCUUCAAUUCUAUAACUGAAUUAAGUUGAGUCUUCCGCUGAGUUAAGUAAGUCAGACCAAGAGUUCCCUUGAGGCCAGCAAUGGUCACCAAGUGCUAGUCCCACCCAGGGUAUAAGCUCGGAGCAUGCUAAUAUAUGCAUUUCAUAUACGACUUACGUAUUCAGAUACUUUUAACAUUUUGUUAGAGCAGAAGAGUCUUAACUUAUAUAUGUAGGUGAAGUAUUGAUAUAUUGGGAUAUUGGUACUUAUUAUUAUUUUACUUUAAUACUUAUUUAUAAGUCUACAACACACGGUAAGCACACACAAGGUGCUCAACAUGUGUGCUUGAAGUAAAUUUAAUUUUGAAUGAGGUUAAUUUGGUCAUUUUAUAUAAUACUCAAUGUUUCUUUUACUUGUACAAAAUGCAAAAUUGCUUUUAUGGACAUCAAAUGACCAAAAACCCAGUAUCCUUUAACUCAUUGUCAUAUGUUAUAGAACAUUGCAAUUGGUUGAAAAUGAACUUUAAUGUAGUUGCAAUAUAAUUAUUUUUACUUCUUGUCAAAACUGCCCCUAUGCGGCUUAAGCUUAUUUUAUCAACUAUUUGUUAUUACGUGGAGAAAUUAAAGACAUCUUUAGAUGAGUCCUUUUAAGCGGUACCGACCUAGAUAUAUAUAUUCUUUUCGUUUUAUUUAUGUCAUUUUUACUAAAAAUAGGUAAUAUUUAAUAUUUAUCAUUUCACAAAAGUAAUGCAUUAUAUAGUAAUGAAAUCGACUCUCUGAACUCUGUGACGGACCGUCACAGGUACGACGAACCGUCGUGAGCCCCGUUUCAAAACACUUCAACUCUUGAGAAUUUGGUACAGGGAACGAUUCUCUGAACGUCAUGACGGAGGUGCAGGACGGACCGUCGUAGGUACGAUGGGCGUCACAGACUCCUUAAGGAAAUCGAGUCUUUGACGAACCUGCAUGACGGACCGUCGCAGGCACGACGGGCCGUCGCAGGUUGCGCAAUCCCAGUCUAGGUCAGAUUUCUUUACACAUUUUAAGGGACGUUUUUGACUAUUCCUUCUUUAAUUAUAAAGUUAGUGGGUUAAUGUUAAUAAGUCUAAUUACUUGGGGGUUAAAGAGGUAACCUCAAGUUAAUUAGUGGGUUAUUAUUGCCAUCUUUCAUUCUUAAUUAUAUACUAAUUAGGGUAAAAGAAAGAGGGUUUGAAUAAAGAAAAUAGAAAGAACACAAAGAGAGAGAGGGAGAAUCGAACGAGAAGGUGAAAAGAAGAGGAGAAACACAAAGCUUUGGGAAAUUGCUUGCUUGAUUUCUUGUCUUCGGUGGAGGUAGGUUUUGGUUUUCAUGCUAUUCGUAGUAAACUCUUAAUAGCGAAUGAUAUGUGUUAGUAGUAUUGUAAACCCUUCUAUAUGCUUAAUUGUAUGCUUGCAUGAAUGAUGUGAUUAUGGAAUUAUGAAUAAAUAAGCAUGAUGAAGUUAUUGAAUCCCAAAUCUUGAAAAGAAACCUAAUCUACUUUGUUAAUGAUGAUGCCUUGGUAUAAAAGAAGGCUUGAUGAACGAAAGGGGUGAGAUUAGGGGAUCGAGUGCCACAUUCUGGUACCAGUAUAGAGAUAGAGGAUCGGGUGCCACGUUCCGGUACCAGGAUAGAAUGAGGAUCGAAGUGUCACGUUCCGACACCAGGAUAGUAUAUGGAUCGGGUGCCACGUUCCGGUACCAGGAUAGAAUGAGGAUCGGAGUGUCACGUUCCGACACCAGGAUAGUAUAUGGAUCGGGUGCCACGUUCCGGUACCAGGAUAGAAUGAGGAUCGGAGUGUCACGUUCCGACACCAGGAUAGUAUAUGGAUCGGAGUGUCACGUACCGACACGAGGGGAAUAAAUAUAAUGAAUCUUGUAAGAUGCUAAUAUACUCAAUUUAAUGAAACUAAUUCCCAAAUGAGUAUGAUAUUGAGGCUUGAGUCCUCACGUGUGAACUUGACGGUAUUUGUUAAUGAUAUAGUACUUGUUGUUGCUACAUGUUGAGUAUCAUAGUUGAUUUUAUGAUAUUGCUUAAUAUAUAUUGUUUUCUAAUUUCGAGUUGACCGAUGAUAUCUACUCAGUACCCGUGUUUUGUACUGACCCCUACUUUUGUGUUUUCUUCUUUGUUAUUUGUGGAGUGCAGCAAACAUGCCGUCGUCUUCGACUCAACAGUAUUCAAGCCAGUCUUUACUACACCGGAAAUUCAGGGUGAGCUAAUGCUUCUAGCUUGGACUGGAUCUUCUUCUUCAAGUCUUGAUGCCUUGAACUUCCGGCAUGGACUAGCUUCUUAUGUAUUUUUAGCUUCUUAGACAUUUUUAGUUAGUAAUUUGAUCAUAGAUGUUCUUGUGAUGAUGACUUCCAGAUUUUGGGGAAUAAUAGUUAUUGAAUUGGUUUUUAUUUAAUGAGCUUAAGUCUUCCGCAUUAUUUUCUAUUGAUAUACGUUGAAAUGAUAAGGUUUAGAUUGGUUGGUUCGCUCACAUAGGAGGGUAAAUGUGGGUGCCAGUCGCGGCUCGGUUUUGGGUCGUGACAAACCUUGUAUCAGAGCAUUAGGUUCGUUGGUCUCAUCACACAAGAACGAGUCUAGUAGAGUCUUAAGGAACGGUAGGGGGGCGCCUUUACUUUUCUUUGAGGGGCUAUAAGACUUUAGGAAAUUCCAUUCUUUCUUAUCUCUUUCGUGAUACUACUUGAAUCCAAUUGGUAUCUAGGUGAUUCAAAUUGGUAUCUGACCAUCUUCACUCUAUUUCGCAGAUGGUUAGAACUAGAUCAACGACUGCGCCAACACCAACACCGGCAAGACAAGAAACGUCUGAGCCAGCCACUGGGGCUGUGGCUCAAGGAAGAGCAAUAGCAAGAGGUCGUGGUAGAGUUCGUGGGAGGACGUCCUCUAGAGGGAGAGGACGAGUACCUAGCCCAUCUGAUGCUAGGGCGGUGACUCCUCCACCGACUGAGGAAGUAGUAAGAGAGGGUGAGGAAGGGGAGAAUGAACAAGUGCAAAAUGAUGAAUUGCCACCCCAACCUACCCCAGAGAUGAUCAAUCAGGUUCUCGCUUAUCUUAGUGGGUUAUCUGAUUAGGGCCAGACACCUCCAGUGUUUUCUGCACCAGUACCUCAGGUUCCGGAGGUACAACAUGCGGCUACUAUGGCUCCUCGUAUGGAUGCCUCAUUGGACAUAGGCACGUUUCCACGUCUGACUACUGGGCCUAUAAUGACAAAUGAUCAGCAUGAACUUUUCAGUAAGUUCUUGAAAUUGAAACCCCAGUCUUCAAGGGUGCUGAAUCUGAGAAUGCUUACGAUUUUCUGGUUGACUGUCAUGAGCUACUACACAAGAUGGGUAUAGUAGAACGGUUUGGUGUUGAGUUCGUGAGUUAUCAGUUUCAAGGGAACGCCAAAAUGUGGUGGCGGUCACAUGUUGAGUGUCAACCAACAGAGGCACCACCUAUGACUUGGGCCUCAUUCUCUAGCUUGUUUUGGAGAAGUGUGUCAACCAACAGAGGCACCACUAUGACUUGGGCCUCAUUCUCUAGCUUGUUUAUGGAGAAGUAUAUCCCCCAGACUUUGAGGGAUAGGAAAAGGGAUGAGUUCUUGAGCCUAGAUCAAGGUAGGAUGUCGGUUAAUGCAUAUGAGGCUAGGUUUCGCGCACUAUCCAGGUAUGCCACUCAACUUUGUUUCAGUCUACAAGAGCGGAUUCGCCGGUUUGUGAAGGGGUUGAGGUCAGAGUUGCGGAUUUCGGCCUUACAGGUAGCGGCUACGGCAAAAUCCUUCCUAGAAGUGGUAGACUUCGUGAUAGAGGUGGAAGGAGUGAAGCCCAAUGACUUCACCUCGACAUCGACAUCAAAAAGGUUUCGAAAGGGAGGUGAGUUUAAUGGUUCUUACCCUAGGGGAUAGGGUUUCGGAGGUUACUCAGUCCGACCGAUUCAGUCUUCACUACAGACUGUAGUUGGGGGUCCACCUCAGCCGGUCAAAACUUCCUGAGGAGACCUAUGCAUGAACCAAGAAAGUGCUAUGGAUGUGGGUUUCAAUUUUGGAGAUUAAAUAAAUAUUAAUUUUGAAGAUAAAUAAAAAAAAGAUUUACUAACCUACACCAGGCGAAGAUCCCACUUUGAAACCCGCGACGAAGAAAACUUUUGAAAACUCUUACCGCGAUGAGGGUGAAAGAGUAAAAUCAUUUUCUGGAAAAUAAUGAAAACGAGGGGAAAAGCGUAAUAAGAUUUAAGGCAAUUUAGUCUAUGUGGUAGUGCCCUAUUGACAGCAAUAUGGAAUUCAACAUAGCGAAUUUAACAACUUCUCUUAUUAGAAGGGCAUUUUGACACAAUAGUUUCACGGAAGGGUACUUUUUGAGCCGAAAUAUACUUUUAAGGGUAAAUAUGAGUUAUUUUCAGAUAUUUAAGAGUAUUUUUUACUCCUUUUACCUUUUAGUCUACGUGGUAGUGGACCCUAUUGACCGUGCAAUGUGAUGGCAUUUUACAAUUCAUUACAGAAUUGCACUUUUUGACACAAUAGUUUUGACGGGGAGGAGAGUUUUUUGAGCGGAAAUAUAAUUUAAAGGUAAAUAUGAAUAUUUCAGAUAGUUUAAGGAUUCUUUGAGACCCUUUUAUGUUUAAAACUAUAAUGAAUCUUAAUGUCAAAAAACAUUGUAUAAAAUUAAAGGAAAUUAAAAUUCAUGGACAGAUGGUAGGCUAUACUGAAUAUGUUGUAGUAAACAAACAUAUAUAAAACUAUUAAGUUGUAUAAUAUUUUUUAUUUAUUAUAAUCAAACAAAUAAAGUUAUCUUUAAAAUUAAAAUAAAAUGAUUACAUGGAGUCCCAUGAAACAAAAUUUUUGUGACUCUUGAAAAAGAUUACUGGAUACUUCUAGAAAAUAUUUUGACCACUGAUUAUGCAAUUAAUAAAGUUGUAAUUUUGCCCAUAAUAUGUUUAAAUUACAAUAUUGUCAUUGUCCAUCCUAAUCAUGGAAUCUUCUAUAUAAUAGAAAUAUAAUAACUAGAUUCAAGGGUGCCCGUGCUAACGCCAACGCAACGUAUGUUGAUUUUUCUCUUCCAAUUUUAUGUGACAAAAAUGAAUUUGAAAAAAUGAACUAAAUUUUUUAUAUGUGUUUUUUUUUAAAAAAUAUUUUAAAUUAUUAAUUUAUGUACUCUUUUUUGUUGUCAUUUUUGAAUAUAUCUGUUACUUUAUCUAUUUUAUUUUUUAUGAAAUACAGUGAUUUUAGGAAAGUAAACGAAAUUUCUUAUAUGAUUUUCAAUAUAUUUUUAGUUUGUCCAUUUUACUGCGAUUCAUAGUUACUUUUAGUUAUUCACGUUAUUUUCAAACAAUAUAUGCCAAGCUUUUUUUUUGUUUCAAUAAAAAUAAGGGAGUUUCAACAAAAUUUCAUUAUCGGGUUUUACUCAUUUUUUCUAAAAAUUAUUUUAUUGUUCAUUGCUUUUUAAAGUUUUUUUUAAUGUAACUUUCAAAUAUGUAACAAUUUAGAAAUUAAACGAAGAUUAAAGUUUUCAAUCAUUAUAUUUCUAUAAUUAAGAAAAUUAAAUCGCUUUUAAAACUACAUAUAUAUUGCAUAAAUUAGUAAGAAGGAAGCCAACAACUUAUUUUUUAAAAAAAUAUUGAGAGCUCAUUUUUAAAUAGUAAUACAUAAUAUUUCAUUUUUCAUCAUCGAAUCCCUGCUUUUCGGAUUUUAUAUAAAUUAUAAUUUAAUUUAAUUAUUUUUAUUUGUUCAAAAAGAAAAUAACUUCUGAAUUUUAUUUGUUUAUAAAGAUAUUUAAGAUCACAAAAUCAAAAAAAAAAUAUUUCAAUUCACAAAAUUUAAAAAUAUACAUAUAAAUUUUAAUUUUAAUAUUUGAUUGGGUUCACCUAAAUAUUAUACUUGAUAUAUAAUUAUUAAGAGCUAAGCGUAUCAUUAAUCUAUUUACUUUCGUAUAAUAAAUAGAUAUAGCAAUAACUCUUAAAAAAUGAGAAAUAAAAACGAAAUGAGAUAUACUAAUAAUAAUCACUAAAGAUUUUCUAGAACUAGUUUAAAUUUCUUGUUAUCAAUCGUGUUAGUUUUUUUGCUUGCAUAAAUUUCAUUUUUACUUCGAUCAUCAUUCACUUCAAUAUAUAGAAUAAUGUUUCUAGAAUUAUUUAUUCUUGAUAAAUUAAUUGUUAGAAUGAAUUACACAUUUUAUCUUAGUCGUCUUAUACAAAGUAUCACCUAUUUUUUUUAUUUGUCAAGUUACUUUUUAAGAUUUUUUAUUUAUUUCAGUCUACUAUAUAUUAUUAAUUUAUCACACUUUAUUUAUUUUCAAGUUAUUAUAGAGUCAAAAUAAAGAUUGGAAAAUAAUUAAUUCAUGAUACUUUUUAUAUAAAAAGUAGGCAUAUAUUAUAAGCAUAAUGAAUAGAAAAAAAUAUUAAGAAUUAAUUAUUAAGUAAUAGUAAAGUAGCAGUAAUUAUAAAUAGAUAUAACAAUCUCACAAAAGAAAAGAAGUGAAGUGAUAACAAAAUAAGUUAAUGGUAAUAAUAAUACUUAAAAUAUUCUAGAACUAUUAUUUUUUUUUUUUUUUGUUAUCAUUCUUCAUAGAUUUUUUUUGUUAGCCAUGUGAAUUAUAUUUUGCCUGUAACGACCUGUUUAGUCGUUUGGAGCAGCAGAGUUAAUUUCCUGAAAAUCACUCGUUGGGUCGAUCGGAUCCACGACGAAACCGUUUCAAAAAAUGGGCCCAAAAAAAAAACGAACCGGACGUCGAGGGUGUCUCGUGCCAAAACACUUAGAAUUUAGAAAUUUGGUACUGAGAUCGACCUCUGAACUUCACGACGAAAUGGAGGACGGAACCGUUGAGGGGCUCGACGGACGUCAAAAUCCUUACCGCAGAAUUAACUCUCUGAACCUUGUGCACGGAACGUGCGGACGGACCGUCAAGUUGUGACGGACCGUCACAGGCUGCGUGACCUGACUGGUCCGGAUUUUCUGUUAAUAUUUUAGGGCGCGAUUUUGGACUAUUCUACUUUUAUACACUUAUCAAGUUUAGUGGUUUAAUGGUUAAUAAUUUAAUUACUUGGGGUUUAAAGAGAGAACCUUGGAACAAAUAGUGGGAUAUUUUAUCAUCUUUUUAUACUUAAUUUAUAUGCUAAUUGGUAAAAGAAAGAGGGUUUGAAUAAAAAAGAAAAAAGAGCAGAGAGAGGGGAGAACGAUCGAUUGAGAGAGAAGAAGAACGCAGCUUUGGGAAAGUAGAUUGCUUGAUCACAAUCCUUCGGUGGAGGUAGGUUAAUGGUUUACUUGCUAUUCGUAGUAAACCUUAAUUAGCGAAUGAUAUGUUUUGGGUAUGUUGUAAACCCUUUAUAUGCUUAUUGUAUGCUUUGCAGAAGUGAUUAUUAUUGUGAUAAAUAAGCAUGAUGAAGCCUUUGAUCCUAAAUCUUGAAAAUCCUAAUCUACUUUGUUAAUGAUGAUGCUUUGGUAUAAAGAAGGCUUGAUGAACGAAAGUAGUAAAGAUUAGGGGAUCGGAGUGUCACGUUCCGACACCCAGGAUAGUAUAUGCGAUCGGGUUGCCAACGUUCCGGUACCAGGAUAGUAUAAUGAGGAUCGGAGUGUCACGUCGACACCAGGAUAGUAUAAGUGGAUCGGGUGCCACGUUCCGGUCCAGGAUAGUAAUAAUGAGGAUCGGAGUGCCACGUUCCGGUACAAGGAUAUUAUAUGAGGUCGGAUGUCACGUUCCCGACACCAGGAUAGUAUAGUGGAUUCGGGUGCCACGUUCCGGUACCAGGAUCAGUAUGGAUGAAGGAUCGGAGUGUCACGUUCGACACCAGGAAUAGUAUAUGGAUCGGGGUGCUCAGUACCAGACACGAGAGAAAUAAAGAAUAAUGAUCUUGAAAGAUGUUUAAUUAACUCAAUUUAAAUGAACGCUAAUUCCAAAUGAGUAUAGAGGGGAGGCAGUGAGUCCUCAUUGAUUGUGGCUUGGUGUUGUUGACCAAGAGUUAUGAUAAUUAUAAAUGCGCAUGUUGAGUAUUGUAGUUGAUUUUAGAUAUAUCUGAUAUAUAUCUGUUUUCUAUUUUUGAGUUGGCCGAUGAUAUCUACUCAGUCUCGUAGUUUUUGUACUGACGCCCUACUUGUAAUUGUUUUUGUCUUUGUUAUUUGUGGAGUGCAGCAAACGUACGUCGUCUUCAAUCAACGCAAACUCUAAGCCCGUCUUCAAUUACAACCGGAUUUCAGGGUGAGCUAACGUUCCUAGCUUGGACUGGAUCUUUUCUUCAUGUCUUGAUGCCUUGAAGUUCCGGAAUGGACUAGUUUUUUUAUUUAUUCUAUAGCUUUUCUAAAUACUCUUAGAAUUCAGUAAUUUGAGGAUAGACUUGUUCUUGUGAUGAUGACUUCCAGAUUUUGGGAAUAAUAAGUAUUAGAGUUUUUAGACGUUUAUUACAUUCAACAAGAUUAUAUACAUAUAUAAGAAGAUUUAGUCUUUCCGCAUUAUAAUUCUGUUUAUUAUGGUUCAAAUGUUGGGGUUUAGAUUGGUUGGUUUCGCUCACAUAGGGGGUAGUGUGGGUGCCACUCGGGUCCCGCUUUGGUCGUGACAUUUGCCCUUGAUCUAUUAUUCACUUUACAUAUAUAGAAGAUGUUUCUAGUAUUAUAUCAAUUAUCUUUGCUUAUAGAUUUUUGUUAGCGUGUGAAAUUAAUUUUGGACCUUAAUCGUCCUCCACUUCACUCUUCUAUAUAAUUGAAUAGAAAUAACAUUAUAUAAAAUAAAUAUUUAUAAAUGUUAUAAGUUUUCUAUAUCCUUUUUUUAUAGUGAUUAAUUAACAAAUAGGUAAAUCGGAUAUGUUCGGGUAAAAUAAAUAUAUAUGAGAAUGUAUUUAUUGUGAUAUAUGGCAAUUCAUCAAUAGUCAGUCUCUAAUAAUUUAUAUAUUAGUAGUGAAGUAUAUGUUAAAUUUUAAAACGAGGAUUUUACAUAAGUGGAGAAGACUUCUUUUCUUUUUUAUUUUCUCACGAGAUUUUACAUUUUAAAAUUAGUUUAUAACUUAACAUUAAAUUACUUUAUAUGUAUUUUACUUAUUCAAACUCUCACUAUCAAUAUUGUACAUUUGUUUAUUUUUGGUCUUCAUAUUAACCCUAGUAUAGCCUUGCUAAACUAAAUUUUGAAAAUUAUUAUAGUAAGGUGUUUGUUUCCUCACCUCAUAUAUUUACAUCAUAUGCAUAAAAAUUAUGUUAAAUGAAUCAACAAUAUUUUUUUUAUUUAUUUUUAAGAGAGCUAGUUAUUUGGGGCCGCUAAAGCCUACUUCAAAAUUAGGCAAAUCAAAAGAAGGAAGUGUACUAUCAACAAGUAAAAAUGUCAACCUACUCUAAAAAGUUUGGACAAUUUUUAAAGAUAACUGAAAUACUAGAGACAUUAGUAAAUAUUGCGUGAAUCACUUAAUAAAUCGAAAAACAUAAUAUUUUGGAGAUAGUUUUACUAAAAUAUUUUUAACAAUAAACUUGAAUGUUGUACAUAUUUAUUGAAUUGUGGGUAUAGAGACAAUUUUUAGCUUUUUUUCUGAUUUAACAAUAUAUUAAUCGCGAAAGAAGUCAUGUGUUCUUAAUAAAUAAUCGCUAAUGGCAAUUAUUUGCUGCUAAAAAUUCUUCCUCUAAUAAACUUAUUUACACUUUUAGCGUUUAAGACGCAAUGUCCAUCUUAAACUAAUAAUAUUUGGGAAAAAAAAAGGAGGAAAUAAAUUAAACUCAAUUGGGGGAUAACAAUUUUCUUUUAAUUAGUAUGUUAUAUAUACAUUAUUUCAAUUAUACUUUCGAGUUUUUGAUAUACGAAAAUAUAAUGUCAAACUUUAAGAGCAAGAAUUUACAAAAUGAGAACGACUUUUUUUUAAAAUAUAAUGUCCAAACUUUAAAUGACAAGAUUUACAAACCAUGAGACCGACCUUUUUUUUUAUUAUAACGUUUUUUUAUAUAUUAUAUAUAUACAUACACACACACAUCUAUAUCCAUAAUAUCAUUGACUCUUAUUAUAGAUAGGAAAGAGGUUUAAAAUAUAUCAUUGAAACUUUCGAAAAAAACUCAUGUUAUUCAUCAGUUUAAAAGUUUGGUCUCAUUUAUGCCAUUAACCUGUUUAAAAAGAUUCAUUUCUUGCCAUUAUUUUUUAUAAUGGUUUUCGCAAAACCAUUUUUAAUACGUGACCAAUUUAACUCGGCUACGUCCUCCCAUUUAUUUAAUUAAAAAUCAUCAUUCUAAAAAAAAUUGCAUUCAUUUUUUUUUUGAUUUUUUUAUUAAUAUUUGAUGAAUGGCAAUUGAAUUCAGUGGAUUUUCUUAAUUUGGGCGGGUCUUUUAUUUGAGUGGGGUUUUAUUUAUGUUUUUCUUCAGAAUUGAUAUCAAAAAAAAAUAAAAAAUGAUGUGGCCGAAUCAUAACUUUGUCACGUGGUGAAAAGGGUUGGGCCAAAUCGCGCCGUUAAAAACUAAUGGCAGAAAUGAGUCUUUUUCCUAAAUGGUAAUAACAUGAACGAGUUCAAACUUUUAACGGAUCACAUAAUGAAGAUCUUUUCUAAAAGUUCAACCGGCAUAUUUGAGCUUUUUCCCUUAUUUAAAAAAAGUGCUUACAUAACACUCAUUUAUUACAUAAAUAUUUCUAAAAUAUACCAUUUUUUCUAACGGGAGUGAAAAAAAUAUUUUUUUAAACAUAAUUUUUUCAUUUUUUUAAGAAAGUAAAAUCUUGAAUAUAUUAUCUUCCACUUUCUAGAAAUAUUUAUGCCUACAAGAUUUUUUUUUAUUUUUAAAAUUAAAAUUAAUAUUUUCACUUCCAUUAGAUUGAUGAAGAUAUAUCUGAAUCACUUUUUAUAAAAUGGUAAGGAUAUGUAUGAACUCUUAUUUAAUCAAAAUGUGAAUUAUUUUUAUAAUGAGCGAUAUAAAAAUUUUAAUUGCAAAGUUAUGAAGACUUUUUAUUUAGGGAAAAGGGUCUGAUAUACCCCUCAACUUUCAUUUAGAGCUGAUAUGGCCCUUGUGUGAAAGUGGCAUCAUAUAUACAUUAGCUUGUAAAACAAAUGGCUCACAUAUACCCUUUCCUCUAACGGAAAUGGAAAAAAUAAUCUUUACUAAUUUUUUAAUAAUUUUUUUGUCUAAAAAUUAUAUCCCAUAUGAGUAAAUUUAAUCCGUCGUAAAACAUAUUUUUUUUAAACCUUUUUUUAGUUUCAAAUGACUAUUUAUAAUUAUUAUUUUGGAUAAUCAAAUUUAUUUAUGUUUCACUAAUAUUCUUGUAAAGACUUAUUGUUAGAUGAACCAAUUUUUUCUUCGAUACCGAAUUAAAAUUACAAUACAGCACAAAAAAUAGUUUAAAUUUUUUCUCUUUAAACUAAGGAAUUGGAACAGAAAACAUAAGAAUAGAAAACUCAAAUAAUUAUAAUAAAAAAGUCAAAAAAUAAUUUAUAUAAUGAACAAAUAAAUAUCGCUGAACUUUUGAUAGAAGAAUCAUAUAUAUCCCUAAAUAAUUUUUUUAAAAAAUUAAGUAAUAAAUAUGCCAAUUUAAACUAAUUUUUUUAACUUCCGUUAAAUGAAGUGGUAUAUAUGAAGCCAUUUUGUAACGUGGAGGGGUAUAUGUGAGCGCAGCCGUUUGUAUACACGGUAAGGGCAAUAUAUGAAGCACUUUUAUAACGGGGGCGUAUUAUUAGCUCAAUAAACAAAGUUGAGGAGUAAUAUCAGACCUUUUUCUUUUAUUUAUUGUAUAAAAGCUUUCAUAUACUAGUUACAUAUUUAAAUAUUGAAAAUGUUGAUAAGAGAUACCCAUUAAAUGCUAAAGUAAUUGGUAUUGUUAAAAAAUUUCCUUUUAUUUUAUUGUAAUAUAUCUAACAUCCUCGUACUUCACUAACUAAGAAUAAAACUAAGAAUCAAGAAUAAUCAUUUUUUUUGGAAAUAAAUAGGAAAUUCCUGAAAAAUUUACCAGUUGUAAAAAGUGAGUUUUUGGUCAAUCUUCAAACGACCAUAACUCCCAGCUUAGGAGGACGUUUAGGUGUGAGUUCCUUAUUGGUUGGAAAUCCCUUGGAAAGAAAUUUCCAAACGCCAAGUUUGUACAUUUUAAGAUGUGCGUAUGAAGGAGAUAUGAUUUCGAAAGUUUUGGUUUGUUGGAGUGAGGAAAAUUCAAUCCGGAUUUAGUAGGAUAAAGUAGUCUUUUCACUCUAUAUUUCUAAUUCGUUUUUAAAGGGUUUUAUUAGGGGUAAAUCAAGUCCAUAUUCAGUUUUGAAACAGUUGAGAACGCUCAUGGCUUGGGAGAAAAGAGAGAGACCAAAUUUCUUCAAAGAAGCUCAGGUUUCGCUAGAGGAAUUCAUCGGGGGUGAUCUCUAUUCGAGGUAUAAUGAGUAUCUUUCUUAUGUUGGUCGUUCACCCCACACACCACUGUUUUAUUUAGACAAUUUUUGUAUUGAUUGAAUAAUGAAUCUUGAAGUUCUUGAUGAGCCAAUUGUUGAUCCUUAUUGGUAGAGUUGUAAGUGUCUUUAGUUGGUGUUGUUCGUAUUUUCAGGCUGUUUUACGAGUCUAACUAUUGGGUAAUGAGUUAGUAUUAGUGAUUGAUACGCUCAAACUUACUUUUUAAAUAAGAAGUAAGCAGUAAAUGGGGUUUCUAUCUCCUAAAUAAAUGAAAAUACUAAAGCGAAAUUAAGGGGACAACUAACCUUCGAUGUUGGAGUUUAAUCACUUAAUCAAAGUAACUAGGGUUUACGUGUUUCCCCCCACAGGUUUCAUAACUUGAUAAUUCUAAAUAUAACAUUCUUUUCUUUUCUUGUAUCUUGCAUUUGCAAGUGAUAAGUUAUGUAUUUCUAAAUCCUUGGUCGCGGCAUCUAGAAAAUUUUCACUCGGCAACCGGUUGGUCCGACUACGUGUGGUUUUCGCUAUAAUAACCCUUAUUAUUUACCUCAUAUUAAGCAUCCGUAUUCGUAUUUGACUAAGUUAUUACCCCGUACCAAUAAUAUCAGCCCUAUUACGAUAGUAUACACUAAAUUUAUUAUUGGAUAAUUUUUCUAUUUCUUCUCUCUUGGUCCGACAAGUAGCAUUAAAGCGCGAGUUCCUAACGUUGGCCAUCCGUUAAAGACUUCCAAGCGAAAGAAUUAUCAAUACAUGCAAGACACUAUUCUAGAAUUGUUAUUUUUACGUUGAUUUUACUCAUUAUUCGCCUAUGGUUCCCAACUACCCUAAUUAUGGAGUUUAGUUACCAUAAUCAUAAUCAAAUAAUUCCAAAUAUAUGAUAUAAGAAUUCAUGCACUUACUUCAAUGAGAAAGAGUUAAAGAUCAAAAGUUACGCUUGUUAUCACAAUCAAUUACAAGAAUAUAAAUAUCAGAAUCUCACAAAAAGUCCUAAAAAAUAAUCAAAGAGUCUAACAAUAAUCAAGGGCUAUACCAAUAAUCCAGAGUCUACCUCAAAAACGAGGUUUUUUCAAACUAUUUAUAAAUAAAACUAAUUACAUAAGGACUCUAUUUUGCUGGAAAUCUGUCAAACGCGGCUGGGUUCAACGGACCUCGGCGACGGAGCGUCGUGGUCACGACGGCUCCGUCAUGGAACGACGGACCGUCAGUGGAUCCGUCGUCCGCAUACCUUGAUGCAAUUUCUUAUGCUGCUCUCGCUCUUCAUUACCCUCGACGCAAGGUUGAUGGAUCGUUACAGGCACAACGAUCCGUCGAGGGUCUCCGUUCAAAACACUUGAACUCUUGGACAUAUGGGUACUGGGACUACUUCUCUGAACUUAUGCGAUGACUGCAGGACGGACCGUCAUGGAUACGACGGUGUCACGCAUUUUGUUAAACCCCACCCUUGGUCAGACUUCCCAUUUUUCGCUUCAGGCAGUGCUACGUUGGCCACCUACGGACCGUCACGAGCAUGACGGACCCGUCACAUAGGCAUGACGGAACGUCACAAGCAUGACUGGACCGUCACAGCAUGAGGACGGUCACAAGCUCCGUAGGUGGUCUCUUCUGCUAUUCUUUGCUCAAAACCUCCGCAUUCAAUUUUUGGCUAGAUUUCCUGAAAUAAGGAGAAACUUAUAUAAACAUUAGCAGCAAAAAGAAUUUUUUGGACAGCACUAACUUAAGGAAAAAAUAUUAAAUAAUACGUGAACCAUAGUAUAUCAGUGAUGCCUAAAGUUGUUUGGGAUAAAUCAUGAAUGUUUUGCAGGUUUAGGUUGAAAAUGCGGAGAAGAAAAGUCAGAAAACUCGUUGACAGGUCUUGUGGCAAUUCCGUGCUACAAGAGCCCUCAGGACAGACUCUUUCUGUCAGGCUCUGGCGCGCCGCCGUGCAGCUAGAGCGGCCUGAAGACAGUGUCUGUCGUCAGGCUCUGGUGCCCCGCGCCUCUCAGAGCGCAAGGGUCAGCCUGGUGAUUCCUUAUUCUCUCUCACCAUCUUUUCGUACGAGUUCCUAAGUGACGGUUCUAUUAUUUCUAGUUCGUUCCAAUAACUCUAAGUAAAUAUAAAACAUUAUGAAAUCAAUCCUAUAAUGAAUCAGGAUCGUGAAUUUUUGCAUAAUCCAAUCAAGGGAAGUUAAGAUCAAGUCAAAAAAGUUUAAGAGUCAAGUUAAAAGUUAUAAAAAACAGUUCAAAGUAGUUCCUAAAGCAUUCAAGAGUUUUAACAAACAUUUUACUUUGUUUUAAGGAUUCAAGCAUGAGUUGAGCAAAAGAGUAAAAGAGUUGAGUUAAAUUUUCAAAAGCUAUAAGGGAACUAGUAUUCCCUAAGAGUUAGUUUUCAAGUUAAAGCAAAUAGUAACAAGUUCGAGGUUCAGCUUCUCAAGAGUAGAAGGGAACUAAGUAGUCUCUUAACAGUUUAACAAGAAUGUUUUUCAACUUUUGAGAAGAAAGGAAGCUAAGACUUCCACAGAGCCUAUGAAUGUUUUAGUUAAAAGAAAAAGGAAACUAUGAUUUCUAAGAAAGUUUUUGAAGCAAAGUUUGAGAAAUUCAUCUCAAACUAGCAGAAGCAAGUUGUUUUAAAAAAACAUAUGAGCUAAGUAUUUUGGGAGUAGUAUUGAGCACGAUAUGGUGAGCGCGAGUUCAUAUUAACGUCAAGUCUCCAUAAACCAUUGAGCAACAUGGGAUAUAAAAGAUAUACUUUUAGAUGAUUCGCUUAGUAUUUUAGCAUAGAUAGUGUGAUCCUCUUAGUAGUUUCAAGGUUCUAUACGACGACAAGGUAUAGAGUGGUCCUCUUGCAACAUGAGGUAAUACGUUUGUAACCAUCACUUAGCUCAUACGAUGGUUGUCCGUUAGAUAAAUCUCUCAAAGAAAUUAUAAUACUUUCAAAUUAUAUGAGUAAAGUUGAGUUUUUUAUUGAUUUAUCUUUAAUGACUAAGUGUUUACCUGUUUUUUCAAGCUUUUCUUUUAAUAUCGCCAUGUGAUCCUAUACUGGCUUUAUAUUGAGUCGUUAUUAAUUGAAGUUGAGCAGGAACCAGGUAAGUUGCUUCCUUACUCCUUUCAAGCCUUAUAGUAGUGUUUAGGUAUUGCCAUUACGCAUACAUCGUUUGGCUGCAUGCAUAGUCUUUAAUGCCAGAAGCAGGGUAAUUAGGAUCAACAUGCAGCACUCUUGUUGAACCAGUUUGAGGCUCUAGAGUCAAGUGGUCGAGCCUCAUGCAUUCGGAGGAUCCUUUUUAUUGCUAUCUAGUUAGUUCAAUAGAUGUUGUGGGGUUUGUCCCAACAUUCAUCUCAGUCAGUUAGAGGGUUUCAUAUGACGGAUAGUAGUAGUUAGUUGUUCUCUUUUAUUUCAGAUUCUAUUAUUUGAGACUUAGUGCAAAUUUUGGCCAAGGACAGUAUUUAAAGUCAUUUUUAUGAGAGUUCUUGCAUUCUAUAGACUGAAUUAAGUUGAGUCUUCUGUGAGUUAAGUAGUCAGACCACGAGUUCCCUUGAGGGCGCAGCAUGGUCACCAGUGCUAGUCCAACCCAGGGUAUAAAUGCUCGGAGCAUGCUAAUAUAUGCAUUUUUCAUAUACGACUUACGUAUUCAGAUACUUUUAACAUUUUGUUUAGAGCAGAAGAGUCUUAACUUAUUAUGCUAGGUGAAGUAUUGAUAUAUUGGGAUAUUGGUACUUAUUAUUAUGUUUACUUUAAUCUUAUUUAUAAGUUACAACACACGUAAGCACACACAAGGUGCUCAACAUGUGUGCUUGAAGUAAAAUUAAUUUUGAAUGAGGUUUAAUUUGGUCUUUUAUAUAAUACUCAAUGAUUUUCGCUUUUUUACCAACUUUUAAAACACACUUGUAAAAAUGCAAAAUUGCUUUUAUGGACAUCAAAUGACCAAAAACCGCGCGAGUAUCCUUUAACCUCAUUGUAUAUGUUAUAGAACAUUGCAAUUGGUUGAAACUGAACUUUAAAUGUAAGUUGCAAUUUAUUAUUUUUCUUCUUGUCUAAAACUGCCCUAUGCGGCUUAAGCUUUAUUUUUAUCAACUAUUUGUUUAUUAGUGGAGAAAUAGCUCUUUAGAUGAGUCCUUUUAAGCGGUACCGCGAGCUAGGAUAUUAAUAUAUGUCUUUUCGUUUUAUUUUAUGUCAUUUGUUACUAAAAAUAGGUAAUAUUAAUAUUUAUCAUUUCACAAGUAAUGGUAAUCAUUAUAUAGUAAUGAAAUCGACGUCUCUGAACUCUGUGACGGACGUCAGGUACGACGAACGUCGUGAGCCCGUUUCAAAACACUUCAACUCUUGAGAAUUUUGGUACAGGGAACGAUUCUCCUGAAACGUCAUGACGGAGGUGCAGGACGGACCGUCGAGGUCGAUGGCCGUCACAGAUCCUUAAGUGAAUCGAAGUCCUUUGACGAACCUGCAUGACGGCCGUCGCAGGCACGACGGGCCCGUGCGCAGGUUGGCAUCAGUCUAAGGUCAGAUUUCUUUACACAUUUUAAGGGACGUUUUUGACUAUUCCUUCUUUAAUUUAAAGUUAGUGGUUAAUGUUAAUUAAGUUAAUUACUUGGGUUGGUUAAAGGGUUAAACCUCAAGUUUAAAUUAGUGGGUUAUUAUUGCAUCUUUCAUUCUUAAUUAUAUACUAAUUGGUAAAAGAAAGGGGUUUUGAAUAAAGAAAAUAGAAGAACACAUAAGAGGAGGGGAGAUAUCGAACGAGAAGGGAUAAAAGAAGAGGAGAACACAAAGCUUGGGAAAUUGGCUUGCUUGGAUUUCUUGUUUCGGUGGAGGUAGGUUUUGGUUUUCAUGGCCUAUUCGUAGUAAACUUUAAUAGCGAAUGAUUGUGUUAGUAGUAUUGUAAACCCUUCUAAUUGCUUAAUUGUAAUGCUUGCCAUGAAUGAUGUGAUUAUCGGAAUUAUUGAAUAAAUAAGCAUGAUGAAGUUAUGGAAUCCGCAAUCUUGAAAAGAACCCUAAUUACUUUGUUAUGAUGAUGCCUGGUAAUAAAAGAAGGCUUGAUGAAGCGAAAGGGGUGAGAACAUAAAUCAAAUGGAGUGAGCUCAAAUUUAGUGAAUUUUUUUUUAAAAAAUAUUUUGUUGUUUAACAAUUUUUAAAAUGAAAAUGCUAAACCUUUUUCACAAUUAUGUUUUAUAGUUUUUUUAUCAAUAUCUAGUCGAUGAUAACCAUAAUUUUAAUAUAAAUAAUAUAAUAAGGUAACUUAAUUCUGAAAUUCAAGUAUUGAUAUUUUUGAGAAAAUAUUUAUUUAUAAAUUGUAAAACAUUCAUAAUCUAAUAUUUAAUAUGUUUCUUACUCUCAACGAAUGACACUAAUUCAUCAUGAUUCAAAAUUGUAAGAAGUAAAAAUCAAUACUAAAAAGUGCAACUCAUUAUUAUAUGAAGUUUAAUAUGUAGUUUAUCUAUUGUCGAAAGUUUUCCAAGUAUAUGAUAUAUAAUUCUAUGAUAAAUUAAUUUUUGAUCCCAUAUAUUUAUACUAUUUUCAAAUUUAUCCCGUUAAUUGAUUAUAUAUUUUCUUAAACUACAAUUACGCGAUCAUUAUUUAUCAAUUCUACUUUAUCAACUUUAUAUUCUUCUUUUUAUAUCUUUAGAAUUGUGCUAUUUUUGUUUUCUUAUUUAAGUUACAAUUUUAAAGAUAAAAUAAAUAUUUUUGGAGAUAAAAUAAGUUAAAUAAAAAACUAUAUGAAUACUUAUGUUGAAAAAAAAUAUAUAUAAUUAAAAAAUUGUCCUAUUUUUAUUUUCUUAUUUAAGUCACAAUUUUUAAAGAUAAGAUAAAUAUUAUUUUGAGAUAAAAUAAGUUAAAUAAAACUAUAUGAAUACUUUUGUUUAGAAACAUUAUAUAUAAUUAAAAAAAUUACAUAUAUGAAAGAUUUUAUAAAUUAUACUGGUUAUGUUGUAGUAGUAAUAAACAUAGAUGAACAAUUUGUAUUGUCAAGAGUAUAAAAAUAAAAAUAUUUUUCACAUUAUUAUUAUAUCAAACAAAUACAAAUUGAUUUUCAAAAAGAAUAAUAAAAUGUAUUUGUGGGUCACACAUGAAACAAAAAUAUGUGAUUCUUGAAAAAAAAAUAAUAGAUUCUUCUAGAAAACUAUUUUGACAAUUAAUUAUACAAUUAUAAAUUUAAAACUUAACCCAUAAAAAUAAUUAAAAUUACAAAAUUGUCAUUGAUUGGCCUCAUCAUGACUCUUAUGUAUAAUAGAAACUAGAUAAUUGAAGGCCCGUUCAUGGGCUCAAUAUAAUUAAUUAUUUUUUUCAAUUUUAAGUUAAAAAAAUUAUCCAAAUUAAUAUCUUAUUUUAUCAUAGUUUCUAAAAUUUUCUACUAUUUAAACAAUUACAAAAAUGUCCUCUAAGAUACAUUCUUAUCCUCUGUCGGACACAUCAGUAUCUCCUCUCGAAUACAUUCCUAUCAUUUCUUGAAUACAUCUUUAUCUCAUCCUGAAACAUCCAUAUCCUCUCUGGGAUACAUCUCUCCCCUUUCGGAUACAUUCAUUCUCUCUCGAAUACAUCCCUACCUUCUCGAAAUCAUCGUGAGCUCUAUGUCUGCAAGUUUCCUCAAUAGCAAUGUAUCACGAUCGAUGUAUCCGCAUGUGUUGAUUUAUCUGAAAUUAUUUAAUUUUAAAAAGAUUUCGUAAUUUGAAAAAAGUAGGAAUAUAAUGUAAUUAACUCUUUACUCUAUGACAUAUUUUUCUUUGUAGUCAGUUUCAAAAGAAUGAUGUAUAACAUAUUUAAAUAACAUUUUGACUUUAAAAUAUUCAUUCUAUUCUUAGUAAUAUUAUUUAUAGUCAUAUGAACAUCUAUGGUUUGUUUUAGACCAUGAGUUUUAGAAGUGUUUUUUCUUUUAAAAAUUUUCGUGUUAAGUUAAAUUAAAAUUCCAUAAACCGAAAGGGAGUGAGUACAAACUUUAGAUCAAUUUUAUAUUUAUAAAAUUAAAGUUUUUGUAACUAUUUUGUCUUUUAACAAAAUUUAAAAUGAAAUAAUUCACAAUUAUUUUUAUAGUAUUUUUUUAAAAUCAAUAUUCUAUCAAUAAUAAUAAAUUUUUUUUAAUUUAAAUAAGAUAAUAAAGUAUUUUAAUUUUGAAAUUCAUGUAUUGAUAUCAAUUGAGAAAAUAUUUAAUUUUAAGUUGUAAAACAUUCAUAAUCUAAUAUUUAAUGUGCUCCUUACUCUCGAUGAAUGACACUAAUUUAUAAUAAUUCAAGAUUGCAAGAAGUAGAAAUCGAGACUAAAACGUGCAACUCACUAUUAUAUGAAGGUCACUAUGUAAUUUAUCUAUUGUGGAAGUCUCAUUAGUAUAUGAUAGAUAAUUCUAUGCCAAAUUAAUUUUUGUUUUCAUAUAUUUAUACAAUUUCAAAAUUUAUCCCGUUAAUUGGUUAUGUAUUUUAUUAAACUACAACUGCACUCAUUAUUUCAUCUUUUUUUUUUAUUCUUACAUUAUCAACUCUAUUUUUUUAUCUCUUUAGAAUUGUGAUACUUUUGUUUUCUUAUUUAAAUCACAAUGUUUUAAAGAUAAAACAAAUUUUAUUUUGGAGAUUAAAUAAAUAUUAUUUUGAAGAUAAAAUAAAAAAAAGAUUUACUAACCUACAACCAGGAAGAUCCACUUUGAAACCCAGCGACGAAGAAAACUUUGAAACUCUUAGCCGCGAAAUGAGGGUGAAAGAGUAAAAUCAUUUCUGGAAAAUAAUGAAACGAGGGGGAAAAAAGCGUAAUAAAGAUUUAAGGAAUUAGUCUAUGUGGUAGUGGACCCUAUUGACAUGCAAUAUGGAAUUCACAUAGCAUUUAACAACUUCUCUUAAUUAGAAGGGCAAUUUUGACCCAAUAGUUUCACGGAAAGGGUACUUUUGAGCCGAAAUAUACUUUAAGGGUAAAUAUGAGUUAUUUCAGAUAGUUUAAAAGUAUUUUUUACCCUUUUACUUUUAGUCUACGUGGUAGUGGAACCCUAUUGACGUGCAAUGUGAUGGCAUUUAACAACUUCCAUUAAUAAGAAUUGCACUUUUGACACAAUAGUUUGACGGGGAGGAGAGUUUUGAGCGGAAAUAUAAUUUAAGGUAAAUAUGAAAUAUUUCAGAUAGUUUAAGGAUAUCUUUGACCCUUUUAUGUUAAAACUAUAUGAAUACUUAUGUCUAAAAAACAUUGUAUAAAAUUAAAAGGAAAUUAAAUCAUGGAAGAUGGUAGGUUAUACUGAAUAUGUUGUAGUAACAACAAACAUAUAUAAACUAUUAAGUUGUAUAAAUAUUUUUUAUUUAUUAUAAUCAAACAAAUAAAAGUUAAUUUUUAAAAAUUAAAUAAAAUGAUUACAUGGAGUCACCAUGAAACAAAACUUUUUGUGACUCUUGAAAAAGAUUAUUGGAUACUUCUAGAAAAUUAUUUUGACCACUGAUUAUGCAAUUAUAAAGUUGUAAUUUUGCCCAUAAAUAAUGUUUAAAAUUACAAUAUUGUCAUUGGUCAUCCUAAUCAUGACUCUUCUAUAUAAUAGAAAUAAUAAUAACUAGAUAUCAGGUGCCCGUGCUAACGCAAACGCAACGUAUGUUAGAUUUUUCUUCUUCCAAUUUAUGUGACAAAAAUGAAAUUUGAAAAAAAUGAACUAAAUUUUUUAUAUGUGUUUUUUUUAAAAAUAUUUUAAAUUAUUAAUUUAUGUAUCUUUUUUGUCAUUUUCGAAUAAUAUAUGUUACUUUAUCUAUUUUAUUUUAUAUGAUACAAGUGAUUUUAGGAAAGUAAACGAAAUUUCUUAUAUGAUUUUCAUAUAUUUUUAGUUGUCAUUUUACUGCGAUUCAUAGUACUUUUUAGUUAUUACGUUAUUUUCAAACAAUAUAUGCAACUUUUUUUUUGUUUCAAUAAAAAUAAGGGAGUCAACAAAAUUUCAUUAUGUUUUUUCAACUACAUUUUUCUAAAAAUAUUUUAAAUUGUUACAUUGCUUUUUAAAGUUUUUUUAAAUGUAACUUUCAAAUAUGUAACAAAUUAGAAAUUAAAACGAAGAAUUAAAGUUUUCAAAUCAUUAUAUUUCUAUAUUAGAAUAUUAAAACCUUUAAAACUACAUAUAUAUGCAUAAAUUAGUAGAAGGAAGCCUAACAACUUAUUUUUAAAAAAAUAUAUGAGAGCUCAUUUUAAUAGUAAUACAUACAUAUUUCAUUUUUCAAUAUCCGAAUCCCUCCUUUUCGAUUUAUAUAAAUUUAAUUUAAUUUAAUUUUUAUUUUGUUUCAAAAAGAAAAUAACUUCUGAAUUUUAUUUGUUUAUAAAGCAUAUUUAAGAUCACAAAAUCAAAAAAAAAUUUCAAUUCACAAAAUUUAAAUAUACAUAUAAAUUUUAAUUUUAAUUUUGAUUGGUUCCACCUAAUAUUAUACUUGAUAUAUAAUUAUUAAGAGCUAAGCGUAAUCAUUAUCUAUUUACUUUCGUAUAAUAAAUAGAUAUCACAAUAACUCUUAAAAAAUGAAGAAAUAACGAAAAUGAGGUAAUACUAAUAAUAAUCACUAAAGAUUUUCUAGAACUAGUUAAAUUUCUUGUUAUCAAUCGUGUUAGUUUUUUGCUUGCAUAAAUUACAUUUUUACCUUCGAUCAUCAUUCACUUCAUAUAUAGAAAGAUGUUUCUAGAAUUAUUUAUUCUUGAUAAAUUUUUGUUAGAAUGAAAUUACAUUUUAUUCUUAGUCGUCUUUAAUACAAAGUAUCAUCCUAUUCAUUUUUUAUUUGUCAAGUUACUUUUUAAGAUCUUUUUCUUUAAUUUCAGUCUAAUAUAUAUUAUUAAUUUAUCACACUUAUUUAUUUUCAAGUAUAUUAUUAGAGUCAAAAUAAAGAUGAAAAUAAUUAAUUCAUGAUAACUUUUUAUAUAAAAAGUAGGCAUAUAUUAUAAGCAUAAUGAAUAGAAAAAAAUAUUAAGAAUUAAUUUAAAGUAAUAGUAAAGUAGAGUAAUUAUAAAAUAGAUAUCACAAUAACUCACAAAAGAAAAGAAAGUGAAGUGAUAACAAAAUAAGUUAAUGGUAAUAAUAAUAACUUAAAAUAUUUCUAGAACUAUUAUUUUUAUUUUUUUUUGUUAUCAUUCUUCAUAGAUUUUUGUUAGCAUGAAAUUAUAUUUUUGCUGUAACGACCUAUUUAGUCGUUUGGAGCAGCAGAGUUAAUUUCUGAAAAUCACUGUCUGGGUCGACGGAUCCCACGACAGACCGUCAUGGGCACGACGGACCGUCGAGGGUGUCUCGUGCCAAAACACUUAGAAUUUAGAAAUUUGGGUACUGAGAUCGACUCUCUGAACUUCACGACGAAAUGGCAGGACGGACCGUUGAGGGCUCGACGGACCGUCACAAAUCCUUCCGCAGAAUUAACUCUCUGAACCUUGUGACGGACGUGCAGGACGGACCGUCACAGGCUGCGUGACCCUGACUGGGUCGGAUUUCUGUUAAAUAUUUUAAGGGGCGUUUUGGACUAUUCCUACUUAUAAUUAUAAAGUUAGUGGUUUAAUGUUAAUAAUUUAAUUACUUGGGGGUUAAAAGAGAGAACCUUGAAACAAAUAGUGGGAUAUUUUAUCAUCUUUUAUACUUAAUUAUAUGCUAAUUAGGGUAAAAGAAAGAGGGUUUGAAUAAGAAAAAGAAAAAGAACAGAGAGAGAGGGAGAAACGAUCGAUUGAGAGAGAAGAAGAACGCAGCUUUGGGAAAGUAGAUUGCUUGAUCACAAUCCUUCGGUGGAGGUAGGUUAUGGUUUAUGCUAUUCGUAGUAAACUCUUAAUAGCGAAUGAUAUGUAUUGGGUAGUGUUGUAAACCCUUCUAUAUGCUUAAUUGUAUGCUUGCAUGAAUGUGAUUAUAUAAUUGUGAUAAAAUAAGCAUGAUGAAGCUAUUGAAUCCUAAAUCUUGAAAAUCCUAAUCUACUUUGUUAAUGAUGAUGCCUUGGUAUAAAAGAAGGCUUGAUGAACGAAAGUAGUAAGAUUAGGGGAUCGGAGUGUCACGUUCCGACACCAGGAUAGUAUAUGGAUCGGGUGCCACGUUCCGGUACCAGGAUAGUAUAUGAGGAUCGGAGUGUCACGUUCCGACACCAGGAUAGUAUAUGGAUCGGGUGCCACGUUCCGGUACCAGGAUAGUAUAUGAGGAUCGGAGUGCCACGUUCCGGUACAAGGAUAGUAUAUGAGGAUCGGAGUGUCACGUUCCGACACCAGGAUAGUAUAUGGAUCGGGUGCCACGUUCCGGUACCAGGAUAGUAUGAUGAGGAUCGGAGUGUCACGUUCGGACACCAGGAUAGUAUAUGGAUCGGGGUGUCACGUACCGACACGAGAGAAAUAAAGAUAAUGAAUCUUGAAAGAUGUUAAUAUACUCAAUUUAAUGAACCUAAUUCCCAAAUGAGUAUGAUGGGGAGGCGUGAGUCCUCAUUGAUGUGCUUGGUGUUGUGACCAAGAGUUAUGAUAAUUAUAAAUGCCGCAUGUUGAGUAUUGUAGUUGAUUUUAUGAUAUAUAUCAUAUUAUCUGAUAUAUACUAUUUUCUAUUUUGAGUUGGCCGAUGAUAUCUACUCAGUACUCGUGUUUUGUACUGACCCCUACUUGUAAUUGUUUUUCUUUGUUAUUUGUGGAGUGCAGCAAACGUACCGUCGUCUUCAACUCAACCGCAACUCUAGCCAGUCUUCAUUACACCGGAUUUCAGGGUGAGCUAACGCUUCUAGCUUGGACUGGAUCUUCUUCUUCAUGUCUUGAUGCCUUGAAGUUCCGGCAUGGACUAGCUUUUUAUUUAUUCUAGCUUUCUAGAUACUCUUAGAAUUAGUAAUUUAAGGAUAGAUGUUCUUGUGAUGAUGACUUCCAGAUUUUGGGAAUAAUAAGUAUUGAGUUUUUAGAAGUUAUUUAACCGAUUUUCAUUAAUGAGUUUAAGUCUUCCGCAUUAUAUUCUGUUUAUUAUGGUUCAAAUGUUGGGGUUUAGAUUGGUUGGUUCGCUCACAUAGGAGGGUAAGUGUGGGUGCCACUCGCGGCCCGCUUUGGGUCGUGACAUUUGCCCUUGAUUAUUAUUUACUUCAUAUAUAGAAAGAUGUUUCUAGUAUUAUCAAUUAUCUUGCUUAAUAGAUUUUUGUUAGCGUGAAAUUACAUUUUUGCCCUUAAUCGUCCUCCCACUUCACUCUUCUAUAUAAUUGAAUAGAAAUACAUUAUAUAAAAUAAAUAUUUAUAAAUGAUUAUAAGUUUUCUAUAUCCUUUUUAUAGUGAUUAAUUUACAAUAGGUAAAUGGAUAUGUAUGGGUAAUAAAAUAUAUAUGAGAAUAGUAAUUUAAUUGUGAUAUAUGGCAAAUUCAUCAAAUAGUCAGUCUCUAAUAAUUUAUAUAUUAGUAGUGAAGUAUAAUGUUAAAUUUUAAACGAGGAUUUACAUAACGUGAGAAAGACUUCUUUUCUUUUUUAUUUUCUCAAGAGAUUUUUACAUUUUAAAAUUAGUUUAUAACUUAACAUUAAAUUACUUUAUAUGUAUUUUACUUAUUCAAACUCUCACAUAAUUACUUGUACAUUUGUUUAUUUAUGGUCUUCAUAUAUAACCCCUAGUAUAGCCUUGCUAAACUAAAUUUUGAAAAUUAUUACUAGUAAGGUGUUUGUUUCCUCACCUCAUAUAUUUACAUCAUAUGCAUAAAAAUUAUGUAAAAUGAAUAACAUAUUUUUUUAUUUAUUUUUAAAGAGACUAGUUAUUUGGGGCCGCUAAAGCCUACUUCAAAAUUAGCAAAUCAAAAGAAAGGAAGUGUACCUAUCAACCAAGUAAAAAUGUCAACUACUUCUAAAAAGUUUGGACAAUUUUUAAGACUAUGAAAAUAUAGAGACAUAGUAAAAUAUUGCGUGAAUCACUUAAUAAAAUCGAAAACAUAAUAUAUUGGAGAUAGUUUUACUAAAAAUAAUUUUACAAUAAAAUUGAAAUGUGUACAUAUUUAUUGAAUUGUGGGUAUAGAGACAAUUUUUAAGCUUUUUUCUGAUUUACAUAUAUUAAAUCGCGAAAGAAGUCAUGUGUUCUUAAUAAAAUAAUCGCUAAUGGCAAUUAUAUUUGCUGCUAAAAUUCUUCCUCUAAAUAACUUAAUUUACACUUUUAGCGUUUAAGACGCAAUGUCCAUCUUAAACUAAUAAAUAUGAGAAAUAAAUAAACUCAAUUGGGGGAUAACAAUUUCUUAAUUAGUAUGUUAUAUAUACAUUAUUUCAAUUAUACUUUCGAGUUUUGAUAUUACGAAAAUAUAAUGUCAAACUUUAAAGACAAGAAUUUACAAAUGAGAACGACUUUUUUUUAAAAAUAUAAUGUCAAACUUUAAAGACAAGAAUUUACAAACCAUGAGAACGACUUUUUUUUAAUUAUACGUUUUAUUAUAUAUAUAUAUAUAUAUAUACAUACACACACACAUAUAUAUACAUAUAUCAUUGACUCUAUAUAUAUAAGAUAGGAAAGAGGUUAAAAUAUAUCAUUGAACUUUCAGAAAAAAACUCAUUUAUUCAUCAGUUAAAAGUUUGGCUCAUUUAUGCCAUUACCGUUUAAAAAAGAUUCAUUCUUGCCAUUAUUUUUUAAUAAUGGUUUCGCAAAACCAUUUUUAAUACGUGACCAAUUAUAAUUCGGCUACGUCCUCAAUUUAUUUAAUUAAAAAAUCAUCAUUCUAAAAAAAAUUGAAUUCAUUUUUUUUGAUUUUUUUAUUAAAUAAAUUGAUGACAUGGCUAAUUAGAAUUCAGUGGGAUUUCUUAAAUUUGGGCGGGUCUUUAUUUGAGUGGGGUUUUUAUUUAAUGUUUUCUCAGAAUUGAUUUUUUAUCAAAAAAAAAUAAAAAUGAUGUGGCCGAAUCAUAACUUGUCACGUGUGAAAAGUGGUUGGGCAAAAUCGCCGUUAAAAACUAAUGGCAUGAAUGAGUCUUUUCCUAAAUGGUAAUAACAUGAACGAGUCAAACUUUUAACGGAUGACAUAAAUGAGUCUUUUCUAAAAGUUCAACGGCAUAUUUGAGCUUUUUCACUUAUUAAAAAAGUGGCUUACAUACACUCAUAUUAUUACAUAAAUAUUCUAAAAUAUACCAUUUUGUUCUAACGGGAGUGAAAACAAAUAUUUUUUUAAACAUAAUUUUUUAUUUUUAAGAAGUAAAAUCUGAAUAUAUUAUCUUCCACUUUCCUAGAAAAUAUUAUCCUACAAGAUUUUUUAUUUUUAAAAAUUAAAAUUAAUAUUUUCACUUCCAUUAGAUGAUGAAGAUAUACCUGAAUCACUUUUAUAAUGGUAAGGAUAUGUAUGAACUCUUUUAAUUCAAAUGUGAAUUAUUUUAUAAUGAGCGAUAUAACAAUUUUAAAUUGCAAAGUUAUGAAGACCUUUUUAUUUAGGGAAAAGGGUCUGAUAUACCCCUCAACUUUGUCAUUUAGAGCUGAUAUGCCCCUUGUUGUGAAAGUGGCUCAUAUAUACCCUUACUUGUAAACAAAUGGCUCACAUAUACCCUUUUCCUCUAACGGAAAUGGAAAAAAAAAUAAUUUUAAUCUAAUUUUUUAAUAUUUUUUGUCUAAAAAUUAUAAUCCCAUAUGAGUAAAUUUAAUCCUCGUAAAACAUAUUUUUUUAACCUUUUUUAGUUUCAAUGACUAAUUUAUAAUUAUUAUUUUGAUAAUCAAAUUUAUUUAUGUUUCACUAAUAUUCUUGUAAAACUUAUUGUAGAUAACCAAAUUUUUUCUUCGAAUAUGAAAUUAAAUUACAAUACACACAAAAAAUAGUUUAAAUUUUUUCUCUUUAAACUAAGGAUUGAAAGAAAAAACAUAAGAAUAAGAAACUCAAAUAAUUAUAAUAAAAAAAGUCAAAAAAUAAUUUAUAUAUGAAAAAAAUCAAAAUAUACCUUGAACUUUGAUAGAAGAAUCAUAUAUAUCCCUAAAUAAUUUUUUAAAAAAAAUUACAAGUAAUAAAUAUCAAUUUAAAACUAAUUUUUUAACUUCCGUUAAAUGAAGGGUAUAUAUGAGCCAUUUUGUAACGGGAGGGGUAUAUGUGAGCCGUUUGUAUAACGGUAAGGGCAUAUAUGAGCCACUUUUAUAACGGGGGGUAUAUUAGCUCCAAAUAACAAAGUUGAGGGGUAUAUCAGACUCUUUUUCCUUUUAUUUAUUGUAUAAAAGCAUUUCAUAUACUAGUUACAUAUUUAAAUAUUGAAAAUGUUGAUAAGAGAUCCCAUUAAAUGCUAAAGUAUUGGUAUUUUAAAAAAAUUUCCUUUUAUUUAUUGUAUAUAUCUAACAUCUCGUAACUUCAAAUAACUAAGAAUAAACUAAGAAAUCAAGAAUAAUCAUUUUUGGAAAUAAAUAGGAAAUCUGAAAAAUUUCCCAAGUGUAAAAGUGAGUUUUUGGUCAAUUUCAAACGACCAUAACUCCCAGCUUAGGAGGAGUUAGUGUGAGUUCCUUAUAUGGUUGGAAAUCCCUUGGAAAGAAAUUUCCAACAACGCCAAGUUUGUACAUUUUAGAUGUCGUAUGAAGGAGAUAUGACUUUCGAAAGUUUGGUUGUUGGAGUGAGGAAAAUUCAAUCCGGAUUUAGUAAGGAUAAAGUAGUCUUUUCACCCUAGUAUUUUCUAAUUCGUUUUAAGGGUUUAUUAGGGGUAAAAUCAAGUCCAUAUUCAGUUUUGAAAAAGUUGAGAACGCUCAUGGCUUGGGAGAAAAGAGAAGAGAAGAGAAGAGAAAACCAAAAUUUCUUCAAGAACGCUAAGGUUUCGCUAGAGGAAUUCAUCGGGGGUGAUCUCUAUCGAGGUAUAUGAGAUCUUUCUAUGUUGGGUUCGUUCACCCACACACCAACAUGUUUAUUUAGCAAUUUUUGUAUUGAUUGAAUAAUGAAUCUUGAAGUUCUUGAUGAGCAAUUGUUGAAUCCUUAUUGGUAGAGUUGUAGUGUACCUUUAGUUGGUGUUGAUUCGUAUUUUCAGGCUGUUUUACGAGUCUAAACUAUUGGGUAUUGAGUAUAUUAGUGAUUGAUACGCUCAAACUUACUUUUUAAAUAAGAAGUAAAGCAGUAAAUGGGGGUUUCUAUUCCUAAAUAAAUGAAAAUAACUAGCGAAAUUAAAGGAGACAACUAACAACUUCGAAUGUUGGAGUUUAAUCACUUAAUCAAAGUAACUAGGGUUUACGUGUUCCCCACAGGUUCAUAACUUGAUAAUUCUAACUAUAACAAUUCUUUCCUAGUAUCUUGCAUGCAAAGUGAUAAGUUAUGUAUUUCUAAAUCCUUGGUCCGGCAUCUAGAAAAUUUCACUCGGCACCUUGGUCCGACUACGUGUGUUGCUAUACUAACCCUUAUAUUUACCUCAUAUUAAGCAUCGUAUUCGAUAUUUGACUAAGUUAUUACCCCGUACCAAUCAAUACUAGCCUAUUAGAUAGUAUACACUAAAUUUAUAUUGAUAAUUCUUUUCCUAUUAUCUACCUCCUUGGUCCGACAAGUAGCAUUAAGGCGAGUUCUAACGUUGGCCAUCCGUUAAAAAGACUUCCAAGCGAAAGAAUUAUCAAUACAUGCAAGACACUAUUCUAGAAUUGUUAUUUUAGUUAGAUUUUACCUCAUUAUUCGCCUAUGGUUCCCACAACCCUAAUUAUGGAGUUUAGUUACCCAUAAUCAUAAUCACAAUAUUCAAAUAUAUGAUAUAAGAAUUCAUGCACUUACUUCAAUGAGAAAGAGUAAAAUCCAAAAGUUAGCUUGAUUAAUCAACAAUCAAUUACAAGAAUAUCAAAAUAAUCAAGAAUCUCACAAAAAGUCUAAAAAAUAAUCAAGAGUCUAACAAUAAUCAAGGGCCUAACCAAAUAAUCCAGAGUCUAACCUCAAAAACGAGGUUUUUCAAACUAUUUAUAAAAAAUAAAAACCUAAUUACAUAAGGACUCUAUUUGCUGGAAAUCUGUCAAAACGCGGCUGGGUCAACGGACCUCGCGACGCAUCGUCGUGGUCACGACGGACCGUCAUGGACUCCGUCGUCCCAUACUUGAUGCAAUUUCUUAUGCUGCUCUCUUCAUUACUCUCGACAGCAGGUAUGAUGGAUCGUUACAGGCACAACGAUCCGUCGAGGGUCUCCGUUCCAAAACACUUGAACUCUUGGAAUAUGGGUACUGGGACUACUUCUCUGAACUUCAUGACGAACCUGCAGGACGGACCGUCAUGGAUACGACGGUCCGUCACGCAUUUUGUAACCCCACACUUGGUCAGACUUCCCCAUUUUCCUUCAGCAGCUGCACUACGUUGCCACCUACGGACCGUCACGAGCAUGACGGACCGUCACAAGCAUGACGGACCGUCACAAGCAUGACGGACCGUCACAAGCUCCGUAGGUGGUCUCUUCUGCAUUUCUUUGCUCAAAAACCUCCGCAUUCAUCUUUGGAUAGAUUUCCUGCAAAUAAGGAGAAACUUAUAUAAAAAUUAGCACAAAAAGAUUUUGGACACACUAACUUAAGGAAAAAAUAUUAAUAAUACCGUGACACCAUAGUAUAUCAGUGAUCCUAAGUGUUUGGGAAAAAUCCAUGAAUGUUUUGAAGGUUUAGAGUUGAAAAUCGGAGAAGAAAAGUCAGAAAACUCGUCUGACAGGUCUUGUGGCACCGUGCCUACAAGAGCCCCUCAGGACAGACUCUUUCUGUCAGGCUCUGGCGCGCCGCCGUGCCAGCUAGAGCGCCUGAAGACAGUGUCUGUCGGUCAGGCGCUGGUGCCCCGCGCCUCUCAGAGCGCCAGGGUCACCUGGAGAUUCUAUUUCUCUCCCAUCUUUUAGUACGAGUUCCUAAGUGACGUAUCUAUUAUUUCUAGUUAGUUCCAAUACUCUAAAGUAAAUAUAAACAUUAUGAAAUCAUCCAUAAUAAUGAGAUCAGGAUCCGUGAAUGCAUAAUCCAAUUCAAGGGAAGUUAAGAUCAAAGUCAAAAAAAGUUAAGAGUCAAGUCUAAAAGUUAAAAAACAAGUCAAAGUAAGUUCCUAAAGCAUUCAAGAGUCUUAAACAAACAUUUUAACUUUGUUUUAAGGUUCAAGCAAUGAGUUGAGCAAAGAGUAAAAGAGUUGAGUUAAAUUUUCAAAAGCUAUAAGGGAACUAAGUAUUCCCUAAGAGUUAAGUUUCAAGUUAAGCAAAUAGUAACAAGUUGAGUUCACUUCUCAAGAGUUAGAAGGGAACUAAGUAGUCUCUAACAGUUUAAACAAGAUGUUUUUAAACUUUUGAGAAAGAAAGGAAGCUAGACUUCCACAGAGCCUAUGACUAGUUUUAGUAAAAGAAAAAGGAAACUAUGAUUUCUAAGAAAGUUUUUGAAGCAAAGUUUGAGAAAUUAUCUCAAACUAGAGAAGAAGUUGUUUUAAAAAAACAUAUGAGCUAAGUAUUUUGGGAGUAGUAUUGAGCACCGAUAUGGUGACGCGAGUUCAUAUUAACUCAAGUCUCCAUAAACCAUUGAGCCAACAUGGAGAUAUAAAAGAUCAUACUUUUUAGAUGAUUCCUUAGUAAUUUUAGCAUAGACUAGUGAAUCCUCUUAGUAGUUCAGGUUCUAUAUCGACGACAAGGUAUAGAGUGGUCCUCUUGCAACAUGAGGUAAUACGUUGUACCAUCACUUAGGCUCAUAGAUGGUUGUCGGUUAGAUAAUCUCUCAAAGAAAUUAUAAUACUUUCAAAUAUAUGAGUAAAGUUGAGUUUAUUAUUGAUUUAUCUUUAAUGAACUAAGUGUUUACACUGUUUUACAAGCUUUUCUUAUAUCGCAUGUGUCCUUACUGCUUUAUAUUGAGUCGUUAUUUCAUGAGUUGAGCAGAACCAAGGUAAGUUCUUCCUUACUCCUUUCAAGCCUUAUAGUAGUGUUUAGUAUUCCAAUUCGCAUACUCGUUUGGCCUGCAUGCAUCGCCUUAUAAUGCAGAAGCAGGUAAUUAGGAUCAACAUGCAGCACUUUGUUGAACCAGUUUGAGCUCUAGAGUCAGUGGUGAGCCUCCAUGCAUUUCGGAGGAUCCUUUUAUUGCUAUCUAGUUAGUUCAAUAGAAUGUUGUGGGGUUUGUCCCAACAUUCAUCUCAGUCAGUUUAGAGGUUUCAUAGACGGAUAGUAGUAGUUAAGUUGUGUCUCUUUAUUUCAGAUUCUAUAUUUGAGACUUAAGUGCAAAUUUGGCCAAGACAGUAUUUAAAGUCAUUUUUAUGAGAACUUCUUCAAUUCUAUAACUGAAUUAAGUUGAGUCUUCCGCUGAGUUAAGUAAGUCAGACCAAGAGUUCCCUUGAGGCCAGCAAUGGUCACCAAGUGCUAGUCCCACCCAGGGUAUAAGCUCGGAGCAUGCUAAUAUAUGCAUUUCAUAUACGACUUACGUAUUCAGAUACUUUUAACAUUUUGUUAGAGCAGAAGAGUCUUAACUUAUAUAUGUAGGUGAAGUAUUGAUAUAUUGGGAUAUUGGUACUUAUUAUUAUUUUACUUUAAUACUUAUUUAUAAGUCUACAACACACGGUAAGCACACACAAGGUGCUCAACAUGUGUGCUUGAAGUAAAUUUAAUUUUGAAUGAGGUUAAUUUGGUCAUUUUAUAUAAUACUCAAUGUUUCUUUUACUUGUACAAAAUGCAAAAUUGCUUUUAUGGACAUCAAAUGACCAAAAACCCAGUAUCCUUUAACUCAUUGUCAUAUGUUAUAGAACAUUGCAAUUGGUUGAAAAUGAACUUUAAUGUAGUUGCAAUAUAAUUAUUUUUACUUCUUGUCAAAACUGCCCCUAUGCGGCUUAAGCUUAUUUUAUCAACUAUUUGUUAUUACGUGGAGAAAUUAAAGACAUCUUUAGAUGAGUCCUUUUAAGCGGUACCGACCUAGAUAUAUAUAUUCUUUUCGUUUUAUUUAUGUCAUUUUUACUAAAAAUAGGUAAUAUUUAAUAUUUAUCAUUUCACAAAAGUAAUGCAUUAUAUAGUAAUGAAAUCGACUCUCUGAACUCUGUGACGGACCGUCACAGGUACGACGAACCGUCGUGAGCCCCCGUUUCAAAACACUUCAACUCUUGAGAAUUUGGUACAGGGAACGAUUCUCUGAACGUCAUGACGGAGGUGCAGGACGGACCGUCGUAGGUACGAUGGGCUGUCACAGACUCCUUAAGGAAAUCGAGUCUUUGACGAACCUGCAUGACGGACCGUCGCAGGCACGACGGGCCGUCGCAGGUUGCGCAAUCCCAGUCUGGGUCAGAUUUCUUUACACAUUUUAAGGGACGUUUUUGACUAUUCCUUCUUUAAUUAUAAAGUUAGUGGGUUAAUGUUAAUAAGUCUAAUUACUUGGGGGUUAAAAGAGGUAACCUCAAGUUAAUUAGUGGGUUAUUAUUGCCAUCUUUCAUUCUUAAUUAUAUACUAAUUAGGGUAAAAGAAAGAGGGUUUGAAUAAAGAAAAUAGAAAGAACACAAAGAGAGAGAGGGAGAAUCGAACGAGAAGGUGAAAAGAAGAGGAGAAACACAAAGCUUUGGGAAAUUGCUUGCUUGAUUUCUUGUCUUCGGUGGAGGUAGGUUUUGGUUUUCAUGCUAUUCGUAGUAAACUCUUAAUAGCGAAUGAUAUGUGUUAGUAGUAUUGUAAACCCUUCUAUAUGCUUAAUUGUAUGCUUGCAUGAAUGAUGUGAUUAUGGAAUUAUGAAUAAAUAAGCAUGAUGAAGUUAUUGAAUCCCAAAUCUUGAAAAGAAACCUUAAUCUACUUUGUUAAUGAUGAUGCCUUGGUAUAAAAGAAGGCUUGAUGAACGAAAGGGGUGAGAUUAGGGGAUCGAGUGCCACAUUCUGGUACCAGUAUAGAGAUAGAGGAUCGGGUGCCACGUUCCGGUACCAGGAUAGAAUGAGGAUCGAAGUGUCACGUUCCGACACCAGGAUAGUAUAUGGAUCGGGUGCCACGUUCCGGUACCAGGAUAGAAUGAGGAUCGGAGUGUCACGUUCCGACACCAGGAUAGUAUAUGGAUCGGGUGCCACGUUCCGGUACCAGGAUAGAAUGAGGAUCGGAGUGUCACGUUCCGACACCAGGAUAGUAUAUGGAUCGGAGUGUCACGUACCGACACGAGGGGAAUAAAUAUAAUGAAUCUUGUAAGAUGCUAAUAUACUCAAUUUAAUGAAACUAAUUCCCAAAUGAGUAUGAUAUUGAGGCUUGAGUCCUCACGUGUGAACUUGACGGUAUUUGUUAAUGAUAUAGUACUUGUUGUUGCUACAUGUUGAGUAUCAUAGUUGAUUUUAUGAUAUUGCUUAAUAUAUAUUGUUUUCUAAUUUCGAGUUGACCGAUGAUAUCUACUCAGUACCCGUGUUUUGUACUGACCCCUACUUUUGUGUUUUCUUCUUUGUUAUUUGUGGAGUGCAGCAAACAUGCCGUCGUCUUCGACUCAACAGUAUUCAAGCCAGUCUUUACUACACCGGAAAUUCAGGGUGAGCUAAUGCUUCUAGCUUGGACUGGAUCUUCUUCUUCAAGUCUUGAUGCCUUGAACUUCCGGCAUGGACUAGCUUCUUAUGUAUUUUUAGCUUCUUAGACAUUUUUAGUUAGUAAUUUGAUCAUAGAUGUUCUUGUGAUGAUGACUUCCAGAUUUUGGGGAAUAAUAGUUAUUGAAUUGGUUUUUAUUUAAUGAGCUUAAGUCUUCCGCAUUAUUUUCUAUUGAUAUACGUUGAAAUGAUAAGGUUUAGAUUGGUUGGUUCGCUCACAUAGGAGGGUAAAUGUGGGUGCCAGUCGCGGCUCGGUUUUGGGUCGUGACAAACCUUGUAUCAGAGCAUUAGGUUCGUUGGUCUCAUCACACAAGAACGAGUCUAGUAGAGUCUUAAGGAACGGUAGGGGGGCGCCUUUACUUUUCUUUGAGGGGCUAUAAGACUUUAGGAAAUUCCAUUCUUUCUUAUCUCUUUCGUGAUACUACUUGAAUCCAAUUGGUAUCUAGGUGAUUCAAAUUGGUAUCUGACCAUCUUCACUCUAUUUCGCAGAUGGUUAGAACUAGAUCAACGACUGCGCCAACACCAACACCGGCAAGACAAGAAACGUCUGAGCCAGCCACUGGGGCUGUGGCUCAAGGAAGAGCAAUAGCAAGAGGUCGUGGUAGAGUUCGUGGGAGGACGUCCUCUAGAGGGAGAGGACGAGUACCUAGCCCAUCUGAUGCUAGGGCGGUGACUCCUCCACCGACUGAGGAAGUAGUAAGAGAGGGUGAGGAAGGGGAGAAUGAACAAGUGCAAAAUGAUGAAUUGCCACCCCAACCUACCCCAGAGAUGAUCAAUCAGGUUCUCGCUUAUCUUAGUGGGUUAUCUGAUUAGGGCCAGACACCUCCAGUGUUUUCUGCACCAGUACCUCAGGUUCCGGAGGUACAACAUGCGGCUACUAUGGCUCCUCGUAUGGAUGCCUCAUUGGACAUAGGCACGUUUCCACGUCUGACUACUGGGCCUAUAAUGACAAAUGAUCAGCAUGAACUUUUCAGUAAGUUCUUGAAAUUGAAACCCCCAGUCUUCAAGGGUGCUGAAUCUGAGAAUGCUUACGAUUUUCUGGUUGACUGUCAUGAGCUACUACACAAGAUGGGUAUAGUAGAACGGUUUGGUGUUGAGUUCGUGAGUUAUCAGUUUCAAGGGAACGCCAAAAUGUGGUGGCGGUCACAUGUUGAGUGUCAACCAACAGAGGCACCACCUAUGACUUGGGCCUCAUUCUCUAGCUUGUUUAUGGAGAAGUGUGUCAACCAACAGAGGCACCACCUAUGACUUGGGCCUCAUUCUCUAGCUUGUUUAUGGAGAAGUAUAUCCCCCAGACUUUGAGGGAUAGGAAAAGGGAUGAGUUCUUGAGCCUAGAUCAAGGUAGGAUGUCGGUUAAUGCAUAUGAGGCUAGGUUUCGCGCACUAUCCAGGUAUGCCACUCAACUUUGUUUCAGUCUACAAGAGCGGAUUCGCCGGUUUGUGAAGGGGUUGAGGUCAGAGUUGCGGAUUUCGGCCUUACAGGUAGCGGCUACGGCAAAAUCCUUCCUAGAAGUGGUAGACUUCGUGAUAGAGGUGGAAGGAGUGAAGCCCAAUGACUUCACCUCGACAUCGACAUCAAAAAGGUUUCGAAAGGGAGGUGAGUUUAAUGGUUCUUACCCUAGGGGAUAGGGUUUCGGAGGUUACUCAGUCCGACCGAUUCAGUCUUCACUACAGACUGUAGUUGGGGGUCCACCUCAGACCGGUCAAAACUUCCUUGAGAGACCUAUGCAUGAACCAAGAAAGUGCUAUGGAUGUGGGGAGAUUGGAAAUAUUAAGAGAUAUUGUCCAAAACAGAGUUACCGACCCCCAAUAGCUAGAGGUAGAGGUGGUUAUGGAAGAAGUCGUCAUUCUGGAGGACGCGGUGGUCGAGGUAAUGGUGGUCACCAAAACGGCCGGGGUGAUGGGCAAACUGGAGCCACUACAUCACAACAUGGUAGGGGCAAUAGACAGACAAGUAAUGGGGCUCAUUGCUACGCUUUUCCUGGGAGAUCUGAAACGGAGACAUCAGAUGCUGUCAUCACAGGUAAUCUUUUAAUUUGUGAUUGCAUGGCUUCUAUAUUGUUUGAUCCUGGAUCCACAUUUUCUUAUGUAUCUUCCUCAUUUGCUAAUGGUCUAAAUUUACGUUGUGAAUUACUUGACAUGCCUAUUCAUGUUUCUACUCCGGUGGGUGAGUCUGUGGUAGUUGAAAAGGUAUAUAGGUCUUGUUUGGUGAACUUUGUGGGGAGCAACAGUUAUGUAGAUUUGGUUAUCUUAGAAAUGGUUGAUUUUGAUGUAAUUCUGGGUAUGACUUGGCUUUCUCCGCAAUUUGCGAUCUUGAUUGUAAUGCUAAAACGGUGACGUUAGCCAAGCCUGGGACAGAUCCGUUAGUGUGGGAGGGUGACUACACUUCCAAUCCGGUGUGUAUCAUCUCCUUUCUUCGUGCUAAGAAAAUAGUUAGUAAAGGGUGUUUGGCUUUCUUGGCACAUCUCAAGGAUGACACUACCCAAGUACCCUCGAUUGAGUCAGUUUCGGUAGUCCGUGAGUUUUUGGAUGUGUUCCCUGCAGAUCUUCCUGGUAUGCCACCGGAUAGGGAUAUUGACUUCUGUAUUGAUCUUGAACCGGGUACUCGCCCCAUUUCUAUACCCCCUUAUAGAAUGGCUCCCGCCGAAUUGAGAGAGUUAAAGGCCCAACUUCAAGAGUUGUUGAGCAAAGGUUUCAUUAGACCAAGUGCAUCUCCUUGGGGUGCUCCGGUUUUGUUUGUAAAGACGAAGGAUGGGAGUUUUCGGAUAUGCAUAGACUACCGGCAGUUGAACAAGGUAACCAUAAAGAACAAGUAUCCUCUUCCUCGCAUUGAUGACUUGUUCGAUCAGUUACAAGGUGCUCGUGUCUUCUCUAAGAUUGACUUGAGAUCCGGUUAUCAUCAAUUGAAAAUACGGGCAACGGAUGUGCCAAAGACUGCUUUUAGAAUCAGGUAUGGGCAUUACUAAUUUGUAGUGAUGUCUUUUGGUCUUACGAAUGCCCCUACUGCGUUCAUGAGUUUGAUGAACGGGAUUUUUAAGCAAUAUUUGGAUCUCUUUGUGAUCGUAUUUAUUGAUGAUAUACUGAUAUACUCAAAGAGCAAGAAGGAACAUGAAGAGCAUUUGAGAAUGGUAUUGGAAAUGUUGAGGGAGAAAAAUCUUUAUGCCAAGUUCUCUAAGUGUGAGUUUUGGCUAGAUGCAGUGUCCUUCUUGGGGCAUUUAGUUUCUAAGGAGGGAGUGAUAGUGGAUCCUUCCAAGAUUGAGACAGUGAAGAAUUGGGUAAGACCUACUAAUGUGUCAGAAAUAAGGAGCUUUGUUGGGUUAGCUAGCUACUACCACCGAUUCGUCAAGGGAUUCUCUUCUAUUGCUUCCCAACUGACGAACUGCAAAAUGUUCCAUUUGUAUGGUCGGAUGAGUGUGAGGAAAGCUUUCAGAAGCUCAAGACUCUGUUGACUACUGCACUAAUUCUCACCUUGCCAGUGGAAGGUAGGAAUUUUAUUGUCUAUUGUGAUGCAUCCUAUUCGGGUUUGGGUGCAGUGCUAAUGCAAGAGAAGAAUGUGAUUGCUUAUGCUUCGAGGCAAUUAAAAGUGCAUGAACAUAACUAUCCAACUCAUGAUUUGGAAUUGGCUGCGGUAGUGUUUGCAUUAAAGCAAUGGAGACACUAUUUAUAUGGGGUUAAGUGUGAGGUCUACACGGAUCAUCGUAGCCUUCAGUAUGUCUUUACUCAGAAAGAUUUGAACUUGAGACAGAGGAGAUGGAUGGAGCUACUAAAGGACUAUGAUAUCACUAUCUUGUAUCAUCCGGGGAAGGCGAAUGUUGUAGCGGAUGCUUUAAGUAGAAAGGCGGGAAGCAUGGGAAGUCUAGCCCACUUGCAAGCUUCUAGACGCCCAUUGGCUAGAGAAGUUCAGAUUCUGGCUAACGACCUUAUGAGAUUAGAAGUAAAUGAGAAGGGAGGAUUUUUUGCUUGUGUGGAGGCAAGAUCUUCCUUCCUUGACAAGAUUAAGGGAAAACAGUUUGAUGAUGAGAAACUAAGCAGAAUCCAAGAUAAGGUGUUGCGAGGAGAGGCUAAGGAAGCACAAAUCGAUGAGGAAGGUGUUUUGAGUAUUAAGGGAAGGGUAUGUGUACCCCGCGUCGAUGAUUUGAUCAACACUAUUCUGACAGAGGCUCAUAGUUCAAGGUAUUCGAUACAUCCGGGUGCAACAAAGAUGUACUGUGACCUAAAGCAACACUUUUGGUGGAGUAGAAUGAAGCGUGAUAUUGUGGAUUUUAUUGUCAAAUGUCCAAACUGUCAACAAGUAAAGUAUGAACACCAAAGGCCCGGAGGAACACUUCAGAGAAUGUCCAUUCCUGAAUGGAAGUGGGAAAGGAUUGCAAUGGAUUUCGUGGUUGGUCUUCCAAGGACAUUGGGAAAGUUUGAUUCUAUUUGGGUAAUUGUUGAUAGGUUAACUAAGUAUGCUCAUUUCAUUCCAGUUAAGGUGACUUACAAUGCCGAGAGGUUAGCCAAGAUCUAUAUCUCAGAAAUCGUUCGAUUGCAUGGGGUUCCACUAUCCAUCAUAUCAGAUAGAGGUACGCAAUUUACUUCUAAGUUUUGGAAAACAUUGCAUGCGGAAUUGGGUACUAGGUUGGACCUUAGUACUGCGUUCCAUCCUCAGACCGAUGGUCAGUCUGAGCGAACGAUUCAAGUGUUGGAGGAUAUGCUUCGUGCAUGUGUGAUAGAAUUUGGUGGUCAGUGGGAUAGCUUCUUACCCUUAGCAGAGGUCUCCUACAACAAUAGCUAUCACUCAAGUAUUGAUAUGGCUCCAUUUGAAGCAUUGUAUGGUAGGAGGUGUAGGUCCCCCAUUGGUUGGUUUGAUGCAUUUGAAGUUAGACCUUGGGGUACUGACCUUUUGAGGGAUUCAUUAGAGAAAAUGAAAUCUAUUCAAGAAAAGCUUCUAGCGGCGCAAAGUGGUGAUGCGGUUUGGUAAGCAAGGUAAACUUAGCCCAAGGUAUAUUGGCCCAUUUGAAGUACUCAAGCGAAUAGGGGAGGUGGCUUAUGAGUUAGCCUUGCCUCCAAGGCUGUCCGGAGUACAUCCGGUAUUCCAUGUGUCGAUGUUGAAAAGAUACCCUGGGGAUGGAAACUACAUUAUCCGUUGGGAUUCAGUUUUGCUUGAUGAAAAUUUGACUUAUGAGGAGGAGCCUGUUGCCAUUUUAGAUAGAGAAAUUCGCAAGUGGAGAUCAAGGGAGAUUGUAUCCAUCAAAGUUCAAUAGAAGAAUCGACCAGUCGAAGAAGCCACUUGGGAGAAAGAGGCUGAUAUGCGAGAAAGAUACCCACACCUUUUACAGAUUCAGGUACUCCUUUUCGCCCUUGUUUUCCUUCUUGUGAUCGUUCGGGGACGAACGAUGGGUAAAUUGGUAUCUAUUGUAACGACCUGUUUAGUCAUUUUGAGCAGCAGACUUCAAUUCUGGAAAAACUGGCAAAAACGACUGACCCCACGACGGACCGUCAUGGGCACGACGGACCGUCGAGGGGGUCUCGUUCCAUAACACUUAGAAAAUAGAAAAUUGGGUACUGAAAUCGACUCUCUGAACUCUGUGACGGACCUGUAGGACGAACCGUCACAGGUACGACGAACCGUCGUGAGCCCCCGUUUCAAAACACUUCAACUCUUGAGAAUUUGGUACAGGGAACGAUUCUCUGAACGUCGUGACGGAGGUGCAGGACGGACCGUCGUAGGUACGAUGGGCCGUCACAGACUCUUUAAGGAAAUCGAGUAUCUGACGAACCUGCAUGACGGACCGUCGCAGGCACGACGGGCCAUCGCAGGUUGCGCAAUCCCAGUCUGGGUCGGAUUUCUUUACACGUUUUAAGGGACGUUUUUGACUAUUCCUGCUUUAAUUAUAAAGUUAGUGGGUUAAUGUUAAUAAGUCUAAUUACUUGGGGGUUAAAAGAGGUAACCUCAAGUUAAUUAAUGGGUUAUUAUUGCCAUCUUUCAUUCUUAAUUAUAUACUAAUUAGGGUAAAAGAAAGAGGGUUUGAAUAAAGAAAAUAGAAAGAACACAAAGAGAGAGAGGGAGAAUCGAACGAGAAGGUGAAAAGAAGAGGAGAAACACAAAGCUUUGGGAAAUUGCUUGCUUGAUUUCUAGUCUUCGGUGGAGGUAGCUUAUGGUUUCAUGCUAUUCGUAGUAAACUCUUAAUAGCGAAUGAUAUGUGUUAGUAGUAUUGUAAACCCUUCUAUAUGCUUAAUUGUAUGCUUGCAUGAAUGAUGUGAUUAUGUAAUUAUGAAUAAAUAAGCAUGAUGAAGUUAUUGAAUCCCAAAUCUUGAAAAGAAACCCUAAUCUACUUUGUUAAUGAUGAUGCCUUGGUAUAAAAGAAGGCUUGAUGAACGAAAGGGGUGAGAUUAGGGGAUCGGGUGCCACGUUUCGGUACCAGGAUAGAGAUAGAGGAUCGGGUGCCACGUUCCGGUACCAGGAUAGAAUGAGUAUCGGAGUGUCACGUUCCGACACCAGGAUAGUAUAUGGAUCGGGUGCCACGUUCCGGUACCAGGAUAGAAUGAGGAUCGGAGUGUCACGUUCCGACACCGGGAUAGUAUAUGGAUCGGGUGCCACGUUCCGGUACCAGGAUAGAAUGAGGAUCGGAGUGUCACGUUCCGACACCAGGAUAGUAUAUGGAUCGGAGUGUCACGUACCGACACGAGGGGAAUAAAUAUAAUGAAUCUUGUAAGAUGCUAAUAUACUCAAUUUAAUGAAACUAAUUCCCAAAUGAGUAUGGUAUUGAGGCUUGAGUCCUCACGUGUGAACUUGACGGUAUUUGUUAAUGAUAUAGUACUUGUUGUUGUUACAUGUUGAGUAUCAUAGUUGAUUUUAUGAUAUUGCUUAAUAUAUAUUGUUUUCUAUUUCGAGUUGGCCGAUGAUAUCUACUCAGUACCCGUGUUUUGUACUGACCCCUACUUUUAUGUUUUCUUCUUUGUUAUUUGUGGAGUGCAGCAAACGUGCCGUCGUCUUCGACUCAACAGUAAUUCAAGCCAGUCUUUACUACACCGGAAAUUCAGGGUGAGCUAAUGCUUCUAGCUUGGACUGGAUCUUCUUCUUCAAGUCUUGAUGCCUUGAACUUCCGGCAUGGACUAGCUUCUUAUGUAUUUUUAGCUUCUUAGACAUUUUUAGUUAGUAAUUUGAUCAUAGAUGUUCUUGUGAUGAUGACUUCCAGAUUUUGGGGAAUAAUAGUUAUUGAAUUGGUUUUUAUUUAAUGAGCUUAAGUCUUCCGCAUUAUUUUCUGUUGAUAUACGUUGAAAUGAUAAGGUUUAGAUUGGUUGAUUCACUUACAUAGGAGAGUAAAUGUGGGUGCCAGUCGCGGCUCGGUUUUGGGUCGUGACAGCAUAGAAAGCUAAGUAACUAAUUCAUACUUAUUGGUCAAAUUAAAUAGUCAAAAUAAAUAAAUUCAUGUUUAUUGAUUGAAAACUUGACUUCAAAAAAACAGUAAGAAUAGAAUAAAAUUUGCUUAAUUUCGUAAUACACAUAAAAUCUAAAAUAGUGACAUAUAAAUAUGAUCGGAGAGAGUAUAAGUUAAUUCUCUAUUUGUAUCAUACAAAUAGAGAAUCAAGAUUUUAUUAAUGAUUUUUCUUUUAUUUUUUGAUGUAAAGCGCAGUCAAGGCAGCGAUUUCACUUUAAUUUUUUUUAAUUUUCUUACAUAAAUCGCUGGCAAUUUCUCCAAUCUUUUUGUAAAUUUUUUUUAAUUGUGUCGUAAAGCGCUGCAAUUGCAGCGAUAUUUUUUUGCUAAAAAAAUCAAUAUUGUAAAUCGUCUAUGCAUGACUUUAUUGAUUUUUCUUUUUUUUUUGAACAAAUUUUUAGUGGAUUUUUUUAUAAAAUUGAAACUUCUUUUUUAACGUAAGAAAAUUAAAAAAAAUUAAACUGUAAUCGCUGCCUUGGCAGGGAUUUGUUGUAAAAAAAAUUUAUUUUAAAAAAGUGAAUUGUACAAAUUGGUGCUAUAGCAGCGAUUUUCCUUAGCGUCGGCAAACAAAAUCACUACAUCCUAAGCGAUUUUAUCGUUUUGGUUAUAAAAAAAUUCAUAUACCUGUAACGACCUGUUUAGUCGUUUUGAGCAGCAGAUUUUAUUCUGGAAAAACAGGCUGAGGCGACGGACCCAACGACGGACCAUCAUGGGCACGACGGACCGUCGCAGGGUCUCGUUUGAAAACACUUAGAAAAACUGAAAAUUGGAUACUGAAAAUCGACUCUUUGAACUUCGUAACGAAAUGGCAGGACGGACCGUCACAGGUAUGACGGACCGUCACAGACCAUUGGUGGAAAUUUGGGUCUCUGAACUUUGCGACGACCUGCAGGACGGACCGUCGCAGGCACGACGGCCCGUCACAGGUUGCGCAAUCCCAGUCCGGGUCGGAUUUCUUGAUACGUUUUAAGGGACGUUUUUGACUAUUCUUGCCUUAAUUAUAAAGUUAGUGGGUUAAUGUUAAUAAGUCUAAUUACUUGGGGGUUAAAAGAGGUAACCUUAAGUUAAUUAGUGGGGCAUUAUUGCCAUCUUUUAUUCUUAAUUAUAUGUUAAUUAGGGUAAAAGGAAGAGGGUUUUGAAUAAAGAAAAUAGAAAGAACAAGAGAAAGAGAGACAGAGAGUCGAACGAGAAAGAAGAGAAACAAAGCUUGGAGAAAAAUUUGCUUGCUUGAUCACUAAUCUUCGGUGGAGGUAGGUUAUGGUUUCUCUUACGAUAUUCGUAGUAAACUCUUAAUAGAGAAUGAUAUGUAUUGAUAAUAUUGUAAACCCUGCUAUGUGCUUAAUUGUAUGCUUGCAUGAAUGUAAUUAUAUAAUUGUGAUUAUAUAAGCAUGAUGAAGUUAUUGAAUCCCAAAUCUUGCAAAAUCCUAAUCUCUUUGUUAAUAAUGAGGCCUUGGUAUAAAAGAAGGCGUGAUGAACUAAAAUAAUGGGAUUGAUGAUGCCUUGGUAAGAAAGAAGGCUUGAUGAAUUGAUGGAAGGAGAUUAGGGGAUCGGGUGUCACGAACCGACACGUAGAAUUAGGGGAUCGGGUGUCACGAACCGACACGUAGUAUUAGGGGAUCGGAUGUCACGAACCGACACGUAGUAUUAUGAGAUCGGGUGUCACGAACCGACACGUAGUAUUAGGGGAUCGGGUGUCACGAACCGACACGUAGUAUUAGGGGAUCGGGUGUCACGAACCGACACGUAGAUUUAGGGGAUCGGGUGUCACGAACUGACACAUAGAUUUAGGGGAUCGGGUGUCACGAACCGACACAUAGAUUUAGGGGAUCGGAGUGUCACGUACCGACACAAGAGGAUUAAUGAAUAUUGAGGGAGCGGAGUGUCACGUACCGACACAAGAGAAAUAAAGAUAAUGAAUCUUGAAAGAUAUUAAUAUACUCAAUCUAAUGAACAUGAUUCCCAAAUGAGUAUGGUAUUGAGGCUUGAGUCCUCAUGUGUGAACUUGACGGUAAUUGUUAAUGAUAUAGUAUUUGUUGUUGCUACAUGUUGAGUAUCAUAGUUGAUUUUAUGAUAUUACUUGGUAUAUAUUGAUUUCUAUUUUGAGUUGGCCGAUGAUAUCUACUCAGUACCCGUGUUUUGUACUGACCCCUACUUUUAUAUUUUCUUCUUGUUUAUUUGUGGAGUGCAGCAAACGUGCCAUCGUCUUCAACUCAACAGUAAUUCAAGCCAGUCUUACUACAUCGGAAAUUCAGGGUGAGCUAAUGCUUCUAGCUUGGACUGGAUCUUCUUCUUCAAGUCUUGAUGCCUUGAACUUCCGGCAUGGACUAGCUUCUUAUGUAUUUUUAGCUUUUAGAACACUCUUAGUUUAGUCAUUUGAUCGUAGAUGUUCUUGUGAUGAUGACUUCCAGAUUUUGGGGAAUAAUAGAUGUUGAAUUUUAGAAGUUAAUGAAUUGGUCUUUAUUUAAUGAGUUUAAGUCUUCCGCAUUACUUUCUGUUGAUAUUAUAUUGAAAUGUUAAGGUCAGAUUGGUUGGUUCACUCACAUAGAAGGGUAAGUGUGGGUGCCAGUCGCAACCCGGUUUGGGUCGUGACAAUACCUUUUUGAAAUUUUUGUUAAUAUUUUUCACCCUUUAGCCUCUGUACUUGCAUGAAUUACAAUAUUCUUCCUAUUUUACUCUUGUGAAUAAUUAGCUUUGAAAGUAUAUGUUUGAUCAACCUAGAAAAACUAAGUGAAUAGUUUAUGUUCAUUAAUUCAAUUAAUUAAUAAAAAUAAAUUAAUUAAUAUUUUCUUGACAAAUUCCUAUUUGAUUUUUUAAUUUAAUUCAAAAUUUUCAAGUUCCAUGUUUCACUCUUUUCUUGACGAGUUUUGUAAUAAACUAUGUACAAGAAAAGCUGUAGCUAUAAAGAAAUCAACGUAGUACAAAAUUGAAAAUUGUAUUUCAUUAAGUAAAAAAAUAGAAGGGCUUAACAACAAAACAAACUAAUUAAAUUUUAACUUAAACCCCCUGAAAUAAUAAUAAUAAUAAUAAUAAUAAUAAUAAAACAAUACUACAACAAGAAUCAUCAACCACAUACAUAAUAAGAGAGAAUAGACAAACAAAAAUUUGGAUACAACGAUGAAAUAACUAUAGAUAAUACAAAUUUGGAUAUUCAUUAAACUAUAUAUAGUGAAUAUCCUGAUACUAUAUUGCCUAAUUCUCGUUUCUAGGUACAUCAUCCAUGACAAACACGCCUAUUGAAACCCUUCAUGGAGGCGUAUAUCGGUGCCCAAUCCUUUUAUAACGAGGCGUAUAUAAGUGCUAAACUGUAAUGUUAAGAAAUACUUUUUAAUUAGUUUUCUAAAUAUAAUUUAUUCCUUUAUUUCUUUUUGUGUUAAUACUAGAACUAGAAUAGAUCAAUUGAUGUUCAUAACAAAUUCCAACACCUCACUCAUAAUGAAAUUGAUCAUAAUUUAAAGUACUAAAUCAUGCUAAAUAAGUUAAGUAAGUAUUAGUUACAUGCCUAAAUAUUAAAAGAAAAUAAAAUUAGAUCAUGUAUUUUAAUUGUUUAAAUCUAUGUAAAACUAAAAAAUAAAUAUUCAAUAUUAUUGUCAUUCUUAGUGUUGAAUUGAUUCGUUUUUUGCAUUAUUAUUAAUUUGAUUUUUAUUUAAACUUUAUUAUAAUUACCAACAUGUAUGGUCUAUAAUCUUUAUUUGAUAAUUAAGAAUUCUAACUUCCAAACAUAAAAUAAAUAUAGUAAAAGAUAAAAACUGUGAAAAAAGUAUAAGAGAUAUUUAUUAAUUAUAUCAAAGUAAGUAUUUUUACGUAUAAAAUAAAAACUUUAAUUUAUAUGUAUAAUGUCGGGUUGGUUUGGUCUCGGGUUGAUUUAUUAUAGUUGAAACCAACCCAACCCAAAUAUAGUCGGGGUUUUUUUUUCCAACACAAAAUUGAGUCAAACCAAACCACUAGUCAGGUUUUUUUUCGAUUUGACUAGGUCUGCGGGUUUAGUUCAAUUUUCGAUUUGAUUUUAUACACUCGAUUUUGAUUUUUGUGAUCUGUAGUAAGAGAUAUAGAGCAAGUCUUUUUUCCAUUAAACUUAUUUAUUUUAUUUUAUUUUUGUAGGAAAGAAGGGGGACCUUGUAUAAUUUUUUUGAUUUAGAUUUGAUGUAUCUUUGUUAAAAAAGUGGGUUACAUACACUCCUAUUAUCAUAUAAACGUGAAUUACUUUAUAAUGAGCGAUAUAUAAAUUUUAAUAAAUUAUAAAAUUGAGGAGGAGUAUAUCAAGACUUUUUACGGACUUGCGUAUUUAGAUAUUUUAGAGAUUCUGUUAAUUAAAGUAGAAGAGUAGGUGAAUAUUGGUAUGUUGAAAACAUGUGCUAUUUAUACUCAUGAAUAGAAUAAUUAAGUAGUAUAUAAUUGUUUAGUUAAACGUGUUGGGAGCCGUGCAUGCAUAUAUAUAUAUAUAUAUGCAUUUCAUGACAUAUAUAAUAAUAUAAUAAUAAUAUUAUCCAAUCUCACCAUUUAUUUAAUAUAAUAUUACAUGAUAAUUAAGAGGGCACUUCAUUUAUUUAGGUGUGUGUGAGUGAGUGAUGAUGGAGUAGUCCUAGGUAAUAGUGACGGUUGCUAGAGAUGUAAGUAUCCCAAAAAUUGCUGCCAAAGUUUGACCAACCACAUUCUCAAGUAAGUUUCCAAUAAGGAUAACGGGAGCUACAAGGGUUCCUGUGGUUGGAGUCAAAGUGCAAUUAGCAAUUGGGAGAGGAAUCCUUGCAAUACAUGUUCCUGACAAAAGACUUGUAUUGGUGGACACUGCAGCAUUAAUAAUGCCUUGACUAUUUGUGGACACUUGAGCAAUCGUUGUGUUGCCACAAAUAAUCGUUACAUUUGCUCCACUCACUCCGACGCCUGGGGCAUUACUUCCCGGUACGGAGCAAGACAAACUCCCCAAUAUACUUAAAUUAACAACACGAUCAACAACAGGUGGUACAAUCGGUGGUACUUGACCACCAACAGGUGGUACAAUCGGUGGUACUUGACCAACAACAGGUGGUACAAUCGGUUGGCCAAGAAUAGGACUAAGAAUGGGACCAACAAUUGGACCGAGAAUAGAACCAACAAUCGGUAAUUGGCCAAGACCAACAGGUGGUACUUGACCAACGGGUGGUACAAUACGUGGUGCAGGUUGCCCCAAAAUGGGACCCACAAAGGGAAUGGGACCCAAAAUGGGACGAACAAUGAGACCCAAACCUUGAGCAUGGGCUAGAGGACUGAUGGUGAUGAUGGAAAGUAGAACAACAAGGGAAAC
rnacentral:lncRNA from 1 species